rnacentral:lncRNA from 1 species
UAGAGCCUCCUGCUGCGCAUAUAUGUACAUCGAUCCGCCGUCCCGUCGAUCGAUCGUUUCUUCGUCUUCCUCCUCCUCCUGCUCCCCUGUUCUUGCAGUUUCGUGGGACGCGGGAAUCCUACAGGAACCGAUGCCCAUCCAUAUAGAGAAGAUCGAGGUCCUGUAGAAUUCCCGGGUCCCAAACUGCGCACCAUCCUCCACUGUGGCUUUUGUUCUUUCUUUUAGCGCGUUGCGCCUGAUGUGUGAGGUCUCGUGUUAAUAACUGCGUGCCUGUGUAUACAACUAUAGAUAUAUGCUUUGUGUGGACUGUGGAGGUACAUGUACGAGCGUGUAUGACACAAUGUACUGAAUUCUAACGGGAUUGCUAAAUCUCAGUCACUCAGACUCAUUCCAUGUUAUAUUGGUGAGAUUUUACAUGAAGAUCCAUGCACAAAAGAAAAAAAAUCUUUUUUUUUCUUUUUAAAUGUUAUGUCACAUGACUGAGACUUGGUUAAUUUUCAGUCGAGUGAGAUCUAGCCACACCCAAUGUGAAACGUGCUGCACGGCAGGAACUGCAGGCUGCAGCGCUGCUGUGUGGUAUCCUCAUCCCCGUAUCGGAGCGAGGAAAGAUGAGACUGUAAUGGAGGCAGAGAGAGCAGCAACGUGGCCCCCUUAGAGCAUCUCCAAUAGAUGGUCCAAAACCGGAGAUGUAAAAUUUGGACCGUCAAAAAGUGCGUUUUGGAGCUCCGAAAAAACCUCAACUCCAACAGAUGGUCAAAAUUGAUGGUUCAAAAGAGCAACUCCAAUAGAUGGUCCAAAAUGAAGAUGUAUAAAUUUCUUAAAACGACAUACUACUAGUCCAUUCAACAUAGUUCAAACAUCAAAUUCAACAUAGUUUCAUACAUGAACUUCAACUACUACAUAUUCAAACUACUAGAUAAACUACUCCUCAUCGUCGGAACUGCGCCCAGAACUCCUCCUUCGUCGGGUCGUUGCACCCUUCCUCCUCCUCCUCCUCCUCGUCCGAGAAGUCUGCCCAGUCCUCCUCGAAAGAGGACUCGAUGGGGAUCACCGUCGAGGGACCGGCCUCGUCCUCCUUCUUCGGCCCCUUCUUCUUCUGCUCCGCCUCACGCUUUCAGUAGUACUCCAGCUCGGCCUGGACGUACUCCGGAUGCUCCCGAGCAAACCUCGCCAUCGCCUCCUCGUCGGUCUCGCCAGUACUGACGACAACCGACGACUUCUUCGUUUUCUUCUUCUUCGUCGUGAUCUCCUUCAUGUUGAUGCCCUGCGGCACAAGCAUCUCUGCUUCCGCCCGACGCGCGGCCUCGUGGGCGGAGGGGUACGUGUCGAUCCACCAACGCCUCCCGGCGUCGGAGAACUCCACACCCCAGUUACCGGAGCGCUUCUGCCUCACGCCGAAGAAGCCCGACUUGCCCUUCGGCGUCUUCUUCGGCGCCAUCGGAGAGCGGUGGAGCGGCGACGGCGUGCGGCCGGGGCGGUGGCGGACGGAGCCGGGCGGGGCGGAGCUGCGGGGCGGCGGCGNNNNNNNNNNNNNNNNNNNNNNNNNNNNNNNNNNNNNNNNNNNNNNNNNNNNNNNNNNNNNNNNNNNNNNNNNNNNNNNNNNNNNNNNNNNNNNNNNNNNNNNNNNNNNNNNNNNNNNNNNNNNNNNNNNNNNNNNNNNNNNNNNNNNNNNNNNNNNNNNNNNNNNNNNNNNNNNNNNNNNNNNNNNNNNNNNNNNNNNNNNNNNNNNNNNNNNNNNNNNNNNNNNNNNNNNNNNNNNNNNNNNNNNNNNNNNNNNNNNNNNNNNNNNNNNNNNNNNNNNNNNNNNNNNNNNNNNNNNNNNNNNNNNNNNNNNNNNNNNNNNNNNNNNNNNNNNNNNNNNNNNNNNNNNNNNNNNNNNNNNNNNNNNNNNNNNNNNNNNNNNNNNNNNNNNNNNNNNNNNNNNNNNNNNNNNNNNNNNNNNNNNNNNNNNNNNNNNNNNNNNNNNNNNNNNNNNNNNNNNNNNNNNNNNNNNNNNNNNNNNNNNNNNNNNNNNNNNNNNNNNNNNNNNNNNNNNNNNNNNNNNNNNNNNNNNNNNNNNNNNNNNNNNNNNNNNNNNNNNNNNNNNNNNNNNNNNNNNNNNNNNNNNNNNNNNNNNNNNNNNNNNNNNNNNNNNNNNNNNNNNNNNNNNNNNNNNNNNNNNNNNNNNNNNNNNNNGCGGCAGGGCGGCGGGGGGGUGUGGAGGCGGUGGGGCGGCGGCGGACGGGCGGGAGGUCGCGAGUGGGCGGGCAGGAAAGGAAAUGAAGUGACGGUUGGGCGUUCGCGGACGGCGGCUGGUUUUGGACCAGAUGCACCUCGUGAUGUAAAUUUGCAUCGCGAGGUGCUGUAUUUUACAUCACGAGGAGGCCGCGGUCAAUUUUUUUUUACAUAUGAACCGUCUGUUGAAGAUGCGUUUUUGGCCUCAGAUAGUCCAAAAGUUAGUUAUUUUUAUAUUUAAACCAUCUAUUGGAGACGCUGUUAGGAACCUCUUUAUCAGAGCGGCAUCCACCGCCGCCGACGGGUCUCUUAGUGUUUCAAUUGCAGCACUGCCCCUUCGAAUCUUCCUUGCACAUCGACAGCCAUCACGCGGCACAGAAGGGUUCACCCUCGGUCGCAAGAAUAGAGGGAUCGGGAGAGAUGGGGUGUGGGGAUGAGUGGACACGACAGCUGCAAGAGUACCAGCAACGUGAUUCUCGAGAGGACCCGCAUCGCCGCGCCCCCUUCUCUAUUAUCACCUUCAUUCGGAAAUUAGUGGGCUUUCUUCGGCUGGCAGGCCCAAUUAACUAGACUGCUCAAAUUUUCCACCAGAGAGCUGCCCUAUAGGACAGGUGGCCGAUUUAAUGGAAAAAUGUGGAAUAGCACAACAUCGAACGGCCAAAAUCACUAAAUGCAUCAGUAGGGAAGUNNNNNNNNNNNNNNNNNNNNNNNNNNNNNNNNNNNNNNNNNNNNNNNNNNNNNNNNNNNNNNNNNNNNNNNNNNNNNNNNNNNNNNNNNNNNNNNNNNNNNNNNNNNNNNNNNNNNNNNNNNNNNNNNNNNNNNNNNNNNNNNNNNNNNNNNNNNNNNNNNNNNNNNNNNNNNNNNNNNNNNNNNNNNNAUGAUGUUCCACAUCAACCAGGUUAAGGCAAAUAAAAUUUGUAACAGAGCAACCCUAGCACACCCGCAAAGGGCAGAAACCUCAACAAUUCCCGACUUGCAAGGCAAUACUAAAACAUGAAUUAAACAGAAAGUAAUCACAUGGGACUUGAGUUCUUAGAGAGGACAAGAUGGAGACUCAUUUCUUCAUCACUUAUUAGUAGUUGGAGUACAUAUGCGAAAUAUAAUAUAAUUAAUCAAUACAAGCAGAUCCCCCUAAAAAGAAUUGGGCUGAAUCAAUUUGUGAAGGUGUAUUGGUAUAGGAACCCUUCCCAUCCUCAGUAGAUGGCAAAUCCACAUUGACAAUAUGACUAAUAUAGUCUGCAUCGAUAAGCUUGAGAUUACUAAAGGAUGCAGCAUUGCCACUUGUUGAAAUAUAGCCACUUCCCGUUGGAGGACUAUGUCGUGGUUUCUUAUGAUUAACAUAGCCACCAAAGGUUAUCUCCAAAGGUUUAUCUACGAGUCCCGGGAUCAAGGAUUUAGGGAAGUAACCCACUGGUUUUCGAUCACCCUUAGCUCCGAAAUGGAUGUGCCAAUCACCUGGAUAUUUUUCCUUGUUUUGAAGCCUCUUUUCCUCUUGAUUUGACUCGAUCAAGUGCUUAUUAUCUCCUAUUUAUCGUCUACCAUUUGUAUAUAGUAUUAUUCACACGAAAAGGGUUGCACAAACUUGUGUGUGCAAACAACUUUAGAGUAAGAAAGGCAGUAUAUGAAGAAGGUGCAAAGCGCUUUGCCUUAUAUUAUCCUAGCUACUGGCACACUCGGGUGCGCGUGCACACACACAUGCAUACAUAUAAAUAAAAACAUGUCUUUCAUUCAGUAACAGGGGGAGUAGUGUAUAAGGUCAAAUUAUCUUAAGUCUACAUAUUUAAGUUUUUACAUGAAGAGCAUCGGUAUCCACUUGUCGUGAUACAUCAUAUAUGAUCAUCACUUGUUUGUGUCUAGCAUAAUUCAGCACUUGGGCUCCAAAAAUUAAUGAUAAACUCUAAAAUGCAAUUAUUCACAUAUAAUUGACGAAGAGUUCAUGAUAAUAGAUAAUGCUUUUAUGUACUAGCACAAACUAGCUAAGUACAAUUCUUAGAGAAAGUUACGAUGAACUUGUUUAGUGAUGCCUUACACAACACAACAAUUGCUUUGUGAUGUGCAAGAUUUUAAUCUUGUUCGAUGUCAACUUGAUUAAUUCCAGUUUGAACAAUCUAGCAUGGAUGUUGCAGUAGCAGGUUCAUACCUUGAAUAUCCUUAGGGUGAUAUAUGUUUUCUGGCCACCAAUGCGUGAAAGUGGACUGAUGACAUUGCCUGGAGCUAUACUUGAUGAUGUCUUGUGAAAUCCAGGGCAAAUCAUGUUCAUGCCGCCCUUGCGAGAAGUUCCACCACUCUGAGAUUACAAUAUUAUUAGGAGAAUGUGCAAAAAUGUUUCGAAUAUCGCAUUCUUUUUUGAAGAAAAAAAUGAAAGCGUCCUGAGGGAGUUCAUCAUGGUCGAGUAAAGGGCCACAAGUCUAGAGUUUGAUACCUACUUGAUACGAUUAUUGCUUCAUGAUAUAUGAAUAACACAAUGACACACAAAUAUAUUACAACCUACUUUUAUACAUAGAUAUCAAUGGGAAUUUAAAUUGGUAUUGUAAAAUAAUAUUAAUUCGUGAUAGCAAGAGUUGUGUGUUCGUAAGUGUGGAAUACCUAAAUAAUGUCAUUUUGCAAGGAAAUGGACUACAUUAUGUGACACAUUAUUGGAUCGUUUUUAAAACAUUACGUAGACCAUAAUUUUGGAGAAGUAAGUCAACUGAUGAUGUCUCGUACAUCUAGAAUGUGCAUGCGUGUACAUACAAUAUUGCUAGUUCCUGGAAUUAGAUAUGAUGGUCUUCGUAGUUAAUGCAACAAACAUAAACACUUGCAGGUAAUCACUCUUAUUCUAUAUUUUAAACACAUAACAUGCACAGUGUAGCUUGUAAAGUUUAGAAAGAAAAACCUUACAAUCCAAGCUGUGUAGAAAUGGGUCCGAGAAUCCUUGUACAACGAUGGGGAAAUCUACGCAUAAUUGCUGUAUGUGUUAAUAUAUAUAUGUACAAAAUAUACAUCCAUUAUGACUGUAAUAUAUAACAUACUUAGAGAACACAAGAAAAAACCACAAUAAAGUACAACAUUAAACAUGAAUAAAUUAACCACAUAUAGUAGGCAAAGAUUACUGUAGAAUAUGUAGUCUAUCAAGAGCAAUCUAAGUUAAGAAGCUCUUUCACCAGUUAUUAAAUGGCUCUUAACAUAGAGUUUAGUUUUUGUGCAUGAUCCUUAAAAUAGGCAUGCUUCAAGCACUCAUUUUCAAACUAUGGCGUUGUACAAGAGGAAAGAAAAACUACAUUAUUCUUGAACCAAUAUCUUGGAUGCAAGAAAAUACAUAAUCUUAAUUCUUUCCAGGAAACACCGUUGAGGUUGGAAAGAAAAACUUGCAUGAUAAUCUGCUAAGAGCAUCUCCAACAGCAGCCCUACAAUAGAUCACGAAAACACGGUGGAGUAAAAUAAUUUGGCAUGAAAAUGUGUUUUUUGGCACAAGCAAGCGUCGUCUCCAACAGCUUCCCUAAAAUACGGCACUCGAACAUUCUAAACUGAAUCUGCUGUCUUCUUUGAACUUUACUGUCAAAAGUGAAUUUGUUUAUUGAAAUUUCUAAAACUGAAACUAAACUGAAUUUUACUAGUACAAGGAGCAGAGAAGCACUGCAUGUUCAGAAAAUUGGAAUAUUGCAUUUGCACUUGCACUACACAUGUUCAGAAAGAAGCAAUAAAGCACAACACCCAUGGAUCAAUCCGUCGUAAUUGCUAGAUCCAUCCAGCGCAACACACAAGAAGAUUAGUAAGUGAAAUUUGCUGCCGCAUCUGUGACUGCUGCCACAAAGCUUUCAGAUUCAGAGGAAAAUCAAGAACAUGCAGCCUUUAGAACUUUACCCUGAAAUCACCUCGUGCCCAAAAAUAGGGCUGCUAUUGAAAAUGCUUUAGAUAUACACGUUUAAACAAUUUAAUCAUGAAUUGAUUGAAGGAAUAUAAAUAGUGUAUUUUUUUCUUACACAUAGUUUAAGCAACCUACUCCAUGUGUUUCAAAGAUAAUGAUGUUUGAAAAGUGCAUCCUAUAUUUUUCCCAUAAUUUUUUAGUAUAAUUUGUCAAAAAAACUAAUGUUAUUCAUAACUCGUACUUGAUUAUGUACGUGAUUUUGGAAUUUUUAUCACACUUCAUUGCUACCAGUAAGAGCUAAUUAACAUGCAUUAGCUUGUAGGUUAAUUAUGAUCAUUAGCCACGCUAUAAACUAUUUGGGACUAAUAAUAAUAUUUAACACGCUUAUUUAAUCACACAUUCUUAAUGAAUCGUUUUAUUACAUAUGGUGUGUGUAUAGUAUGUCUUCUCUAAACAACAAAGUUGUACAUAGAAGCUCACUAAUUACAAAUAAAUAUGCCAAAACUAAAAAUAAGAUCUUAUAAUAAAUCAUGCACCCGACGGGUUCUAAUAUUGGAACUUCUAAAAAUUAUAUUGGUAGUAAUACACAACAUAUGCAAAAAAAAAUGUGGUAUUUUAUUCAUGUUGAGUAGUUUAAUAACCAAGUGUAAUUAAAUUAAUAUAUAUGUAGUUGUACAAGUCACAUAACUUACAUGCCAUCCAAUUUGGAUUCCAUUGAGUGAAGAUGGUUGUCCAUCUCCCCUAUAUAGAAUCGAAAUCAUAGACGUGCACUUUCUUGCCCAUUUUGUAAAUCAAAGACGUAAACAUCUAGUGUGGCCUCUGCACCAUAAUAAUGCUUAUUGCCACCUCCUGACGGCCAUGUAUAACAUGCGAACUAUUAAAAUGUAAUAAAGUCAUCUGCGUGUAAGUAGGACACAGAUUUCAUGAUGUAUGUGAUACUAAAAAUAUCACAAACAACAAUGCAGUUAAGGGAAACUUAAUACUCACAUAAGUAAUUUUUGAAUUUUUGUCAGAGGUAAGAUUUCCCUUUGUAAGGAAGAAUUCUGGAUGAAUUUCAUAGGGCCAUGCAAUUGUCGAGAUUCCUUGCUUUAUAUUGUAGGGAGGGUGCAAAUAGGGAGAGAAUGUAAAUAAUGAUGUGAAUGUUCAUCGCAAUAUCAAUGGUAAAUAAACGGCAAACUUGCCUCUUCAAUAGCAUGAAAACACCCUCCUUUAGGUAUGCUACCAAGAAGUAGCACAAUAAACAACAUAAUAGGUUGAGGAGAAUUAUCCAUGUAGAAGCCAAAGAGAAACACAAGUACCGGUGUACUGAUGUGCCCUUCAUUGAGGCCCGCCCUCUUAAAUAGUGUGAAGCAGUGUGGUGCCUAUAGGAUUCGGUGCGGAAUAUUAGCGAGAGUGCAAUAAAAGAUUUCAUUCCAUAAAAAAUCUUGUUGGAAUAUCUGCUAUUUAAGAAAAAAUAAUGUGGUUCAUUUAUAUCCUAGUGAGAUGUGACGAUCAUAUAAGAUAUAAGAUAUAUAAAAAUGAAUUCAUUGAAAAGGAAAAUCUAGGAUUAUGGAAAAUAAUAAAUAAUCCAUCAUAUACUAUUAAUGAAUAUAUAUAUGAAUUAACUUAAGAAAAGGCAUAUCUAUGAUUUAAUAUCAACAGGCCUUAAAAGGCCAAGUGGUGGAGGUAGAAUUGGGACACAAGGGCCAAUAGGGGUGGCGCGCCCUCUCCCAUGGAAAGAAGGGGUGAGGACGAAUUGGGGAGAGAUUCCCGCUCCCCUAGGCCGGCGCAAGGGGGGAUUCCUUUCCCCCCUUGUGUGACGCCCCCUCCUCUCCCUCCAACCUAUAUAUACUAGAAGCUUUGGCACUUUUUGAACACACAAGUUUGGAGCCUCCUCUAGUUCUUUAAUUAUAGUUCUAGUUGGUCCUAGUUGAUCAAUUAGAGCUAGACCUAGAUCCUAUUGUCCUCAUAAUUAGAAGCCCAAUGUGCUUCUAAUCUGCUCCCUCUAAUUCUCCAGCAACCAUUAGCUCUGGAAGGCGAAGAUCAUGAAGACCGUGCGCUUGCAACUUGUAGAGAGGCCAUGCUUUCGAUCUUCUGUUCGAGGGACUGUUCGUGGGAUGUUCGCGGGUUCGUUCUUCUACGUUUGAGGGACUCCAAGUACGAUCUACACCGACUCGUCUUCUUCUGCUGCAACUCGGAGUCGAUAUGAUCAAAUUCAAACCAUUAAUGCAUCUUCAUAUUGUGUCUUGGUGAUUGUAGGGUGAAUUUUUGUUGUUUUCUACUACAUUUCUCAACACGAUGGUCACUAAUAAAGAAGAAAUAUUUUGUGACGUCAUUUGGACUGCGGAUAAUUUUAAGGUAUUUGUUUGGUGGAUGUGUCUGAUGUUGAUGUUACCUUGUUUGCAUGUACCAAAUUGGUUGCCCUAUGUCCGCUACUAAUACAAUCUAUCAUUUUGCUUAAAUUUUUAGGAUAGGUGGAGAAAUCUAUGGAAAUCCUUAAACUUCUCGCCAGAUUGUCGGCUGCGCCUUGGACAUUAGGGUAUAUACAUGCGAACAAGUAAGCAUUGUAUGUGUAGAAAGCAUUGCAUCGCUACAUAUAACAAUAGUCUUACAACGAAAAAAACACUUCAUGAUUUUAAUGGCAUCCACAAGCCAGACCCCCAAAUUAAGAUUCUAAUUGUUGGAAAUAUGCCCUAGAGGCAAUAAUAAAAUGGUUAUUAUUAUAUUUCCUUGUUCAUGAUAAUUUUCUAUUGUUCAUGCUAUAAUUGUGUUAUCCGGAAAUCGUAAUACAUGUGUGAAUACAUAGACCACAACAUGUCCCUAGUGAGCCUCUAGUUGACUAGCUCGUUGAUCAAUGGAUGGUUACGGUUUCCUGACCAUGGACAUUGGAUGUCGUUGAUAACGGGAUCACAUCAUUUGGAGAAUGAUGUGAUGGAGAAGACACAAUCCUAAGCAUAGCACAAGGUUGUGUAGUUCGUCUGCUAAAGCUUUUCUAAUGUCAAGUAUCAUUUCCUUAGACCAUGAGAUUGUGCAACUCCCGGAUACCGUAGGAAUGCUUUGGGUGUGCCAAACGUCACAACCUAACUGGGUGGCUAUAAAGGCACACUACGGGUAUCUCCGAAAGUGUCUGUUGGGUUGGCACGAAUCAAGACUGGGAUUUGUCACUCCAUGUGACGGAGAGGUAUCUCUGGGCCCACUCGGUAAGACAUCAUCAUAAUGAGCUCAAUGUGACCAAGGAGUUGAUCACGGGAUGAUGUGUUACGGAACGAGUAAAGAGACUUGCCAGUAACGAGAUUGAACAAGGUAUAGGGAUACCGACGAUCGAAUCUCGGGCAAGUAUCAUACCGGUAGACAAAGGGAAUUGUAUACGGGAUUGAUUGAAUCCUCGACAUUGUGGUUCAUCCGAUAAAAUCAUUGUGGAACAUGUGGGAGCCAACAUGGGUAUCCAGAUCCCGCUGUUGGUUAUUGACCAGAGAGAUGUCUCGGUCAUGUCUACAUGCCUCCCGAACCCGUAGGGUCUACACACUUAAGGUUCGAUGACGCUAGGGUUAUAGGGAAAGUUGGUAUGUGGUUACCGAAUGUUGUUCGGAGUCCCGGAUGAGAUCCCGGACAUCACGAGGAGUUCCGGAAUGGUCCGGAGGUAAAUAAUAAUAUAUAGGAAGUGAGGUUUUGGCCACCGAAAGUAUUUCGGGCGUCACCGGUAAUUUACCGGGACCACCGGAAGGGUUCUAGGGGUCCACCGGGAGGGGCCACCAGCCCCGGAGGCUUGCAUGGGCCAAGCGUGGGAAGGGACCAGCCCCUGAGUGGGCUGGUGCGCCUCCCACCAAGGCCCAAGGCGCUGCUAGGAGGAGUGGGGGGAAACCCUGGGCGCAGAUGGUCCUAAAGGCCCACCCUAGGGCGCGCCCCCCUCUCUCCCCCUCUUGGCCGCCCCCGGCUGCCGCACCCCCUAGGGUGGGAACCCUAGAGGGGGCGCAGCCACCUCCCCUCCUCCUAUAUAUAGUGGGGUUUUUGGGGCUGCCAAAGACACGAGUCUCUCUCUCUCUCUCCCUCCCUCUCUCUCUCUCUCUCUCUCGGCGCAGCCCUAUCUCUCCACAUCCUCGUCCUUCAUAGUGCUUGGCGAAGCCCUGCUGGAAACCACGCUGCUCCACCACCACCACGCCGUCGUGCUGCUGCUGGAGUUGUCUUCCCCAACCUCUCCCUCCUCCUUGCUGGAUCAAGGCGCGGGAGACGUCACCGGGUUGCACGUGUGUUGAACGCGGAGGCGCCGUUGUUCGGCGCUUAGAUCGGAAUCGACCGCGAUCUGAAUCGCUGCGUGUCCGACUCCUCCAACUGCGUUCUUGUAAUGCUUCCGCAUCGCGAUCUUCAAGGGUAUGAAGAUACACUCCCCCUCUCUCGUUGCUAGUCUCUCCAUAGAUUGAUCUUCGUGAUGCGUAGAAUUUUUUUAAUUUCUGCAACGAUCCCCAACAGUGGCAUCAUGAGCUAGGUCUAUGCGUAGUUUCUAUGCAUGAGUAGAACACAAGUUGUUGUGGGCGUUGAUUUUGUCAAUUUACUUGCCGUUACUAGUCUUAUCUUGAUUCGGCGGCAUCGUGGGAUGAAGCGGCCCGGACCGACCUUACACGUACGCUUACGUGAGACAGGUUCCACCAACUGACAUGCACUAGUUGCAUAAGGUGGCUAGCGGGUGUCUGUCUCUCCCACUUUAGUCGGAUCGGAUUCGAUAAAAAGGGUCAUUAUGAAGGGUAAAUAGCAAUUGGCAUAUCACGUUGUGGUUUUGGCGUAGGUAAGAAACAUUCUUGCUAGAAACCUAUAGCAGCCACGUAAAAACUUGCAACAACAAUUAGAGGACGUCUAACUUGUUCUUGCAGCAUAUGCCGUGUGAUGUGUUAUGGCCAAAAGGAUGUGAUGAAUGAUAUAUGUGAUGUAUGAGAUUGAUCAUGUUCUUGUAAUAGGAAUCACGACUUGCAUGUCGAUGAGUAUUACAACCGGCAGGAGCCAUAGGAGUUGUCUUAAUUUAUUGUAUGACCUGCGUGUCAAUGAAAAUGCCAUGUAAUUACUUUACUUUAUUGCUAACCAUUAGCCAUAGUAGUAGAAGUAACAGUUGUCGAGACAACUUCAUGAAGACACGAUGAUGAAGAUCAUGAUGAUGGAGAUCAUGGUGUCAUGCCGGUGACGAUGAUGAUCAUGGCGCCCCGAAGAUGGAGAUCAAAAGGAGGAAAAUGAUAUUGGCCAUAUCAUGUCACUAUUUGAUUGCAUGUGAUGUUUAUCAUGUUUUUACAUCUUAUUUGCUUAGAACGACGGUAGCUUAAAUAAGAUGAUCCCUCGCUAAAAUUUUAAGAUAGUGUUCCUCCUAACUGUGCACCGUUGCGAAGGUUCGUUUUUUCGAAGCACCAUGUGAUGAUCGGGUGCGAUAGAUCCUAACGUUCGAAUACAACGGGUGUAAGCCAGAAUUACACAUGCAAAACACUUAGGUUGACUUGACGAGCCUAGCAUGUACAUACAUGGCCUCGGAACACGAGAGACCGAAAGGUCGAACAUGUGUCGUAUAGUAGAUACGAUCAACAUGAAGAUGUUCACCGAUGAUGACUGUCCGUCUCACGUGAUGAUCGGACACGGCCUAGUUGACUCGGAUCAUGUAUCACUUAGAUGACUGGAGGGAUGUCUAUCUGAGUGGGAGUUCAUUAAAUAAUUUGAUUAGAUGAACUUAAUUAUCAUGAACAUAGUCUAAAAAUCUUUGCAAUAUGUCUUGUAGAUCAAAUGGCCCAUGCUAGUGUUGCCCUCAACUUCAACGCGUUCCUAGAGAAAACCAAGCUGAAGGACGAUGGUAGCAACUAUACAGACUGGGUCCGUAACUUGAGGAUCAUCCUCAUAGCUGCCAAGAAAGCAUAUGUCCUUGAAGCACCGCUAGGUGAAGCACCUGUUUUCCCAGCAACUCAAGAUGUUAUGAACGCCUGGCAGUCGCGUAGUGAUGAUUACUCCCUGGUUCAGUGCGGCAUGCUUUACAGCUUAGAAUCGGGGCUCCAAAAGCGUUUUGAGCAACACGGAGCAUAUGAGAUGUUCUAAGAGCUGAAAAUGGUUUUCCAAGCUCAUGCCCGAGUCGAGAGAUAUGAAGUCUCCGACAAGUUCUACAGUUGUAAGAUGGAGGAGAAUAGUUCUGUCAGCGAGCACAUACUCAAAAUGUCUGGGUUGCACAACCGCUUGUCUCAGCUGGGAGUUAAUCUCCCGGAUGACGCGGUCAUUGACAGAAUCCUUGACUAGCUUCCACCUAGCUACAAGAGCUUUGUGAUGAAUUUCAAUAUGCAAGGGAUGGAGAAAACCAUUCCUGAGGUAUAUUCAAUGCUGAAAUCAGCGGAGGUGGAGAUCAAAAAGGAACAUCCAGUGUUGAUGGUCAAUAAAACCACUAGUUUCAAGAAAGGCAAGGGUAAGAAAAACUUCAAGAAGGACGGCAAGGGAGUUGCCGCGCCCGGUAAGCCAGUUGCCGGGAAGAAGCCAAAGCAUGGACCCAAGCCUGAGACUGAGUGCUUUUAUUGCAAGAGAAACGGUCACUGGAAGCGGAACUGCCCCAAGUACUUAGCGGAUAAGAAGGCCGGCAAUACCAAAGGUAUAUAUGAUAUACAUGUUAUUGAUGCGUACCUUACAAGUACUCGUAGUAGCUCCUGGGUAUUUGAUACCGGUGCGGUUGCUCAUAUUUCUAACUCAAAACAGGAGCUACGGAAUAAGCGGAGACUGGUGAAGGACGAGGUGACGAUGCGCGUCGGGAAUGGUUCCAAGGUCGAUGUGAUCGUUGUCGGCACGCUACCUCUGCAUUUACCUACGGGAUUAGUUUUAAUCCUCAAUAUUGUUAUUUAGUGCCAGCUUUGAGCAUGAACAUUGUAUCUAGAUCUUGUUUAAUGCGAGAUGGCUACUCAUUUAAAUCUGAGAAUAAUGGUUGUUCUAUUUAUAUGAGAGAUAUGUUUUAUGGUCAUGCCCCGCUGGUCAAUGGUUUCUUCUUAUUGAAUCUCGAAUGUCAUGUUACACAUAUCCAUAGUGUGAAUACCAAAAGAUGUAAGGUUAAUAAUGAUAGUCCCACACUAGUACAAAAAGGACCUAUUGUCCCGGUUCGUAAGGCCCAUUUUGUCCCGGUUUUUGAACCGGGACUAAAGGGUCGUUACUAAUGCCCUAGGCCUUUAGUUCCAGUUCUUACACAAACCGGGACAGAUGGGCCUCCACGUGGCCAGUGCGGCGAGCCCAGGCAGGAGGGCCUUUAGUCCCGGUUGUUGGGGAACGUAGUCAUUUCAAAAAAAAUUCCAACGCACACACAUGAUCAUGGUGAUGCAUAGCAACGAGAGGGGAGAGUGUGUCAACGUACCCUCGUAGACCGAAAGCGGAAGCGUUAGCACAACGCGGUUGAUGUAGUCGUACGUCUUCACGAUCCGACCGAUCCAAGUACCGAACGCAUGGCACCUUCGAGUUCAGCACACGUUCAACUCGAUGACGUCCCGCGAGCUCCGAUCCAGCAAAGCUUCGCAGGAGAGUUUCGUCAGCACGACGGCGUGAUGAUGAUGAUGAUGAUGUUGCUACCGACGCAGGGCUUCGCCUAAGCACCACUACGAUAUGAUCGAGGUGGAUUAUGGUGGAGGGGGGCACCGCACACGGUUGGGAGAGAUCAACAGAUCAACUUGUGUGUCUCCAAGGGGUGCCCCCUCCCCGUAUAUAAAGGAGUGGAGGAGGGGGAGGAGGCCGGCCUCCCUAGGCGCGCCCCAUGAGGAGUCCUACUCCCACCGGGAGUAGGACUCCCCCCUUCCAAGUAGGAGUAGGAGAAGGGAAGGAAGGGAGAGAGGAAGAGAAGGAAAAAGGGGGGCGCCGCCCCCCUCCUUGUCCAAUUCGGACUAGAGGGGGAGGGGAGCGCGGCUGCCCUGGCCGCCCCUCCUCUUCUCCCACUAAGGCCCAUGAGGCCCAAUUAACUCCCCGGGGGGUUCCGGUAACCCCCGGGUACUCCGGUAUAUGCCCGAAACCUCCCGGAACCCUUCCGGUGUCCAAACAUAGUCGUCCAAUAUAUCGAUCUUUACGUCUCGACCAUUUCGAGACUCCUUGUCAUGUCCAUGAUCAUAUCUAGGACUCCGAACUACCUUCGGUACAUCAAAACACUAAAACUCAUAAUACCGAUCGUCACUGAACUUUAAGCGUGCGGACCCUACGGGUUCGAGAACAAUGUAGACAUGACCGAGACACAUCUCCGGUCAAUAACCAAUAGUGAAACCUAGAUGCUCAUAUUAUCUCCUACAUAUUCUACGAAGAUCUUUAUCGGUCAAACCGCAUAACAACAUACGUUGUUCCCUUUGUCAUCGGUAUGUUACUUGCCCGAGAUUCGAUCGUUGGUAUCUCAAUACCUAGUUCAAUCUCGUUACCGGCAAGUCUCUUUACUCGUUCUGUAAUACAUCAUCCCGCAACUAACUCAUUAGUUACAAUGCUUGCAAGGCUUAUAGUGACGUGCAUUACCGAGUGGGCCCAGAGAUACCUCCCCGACAAUCGGAGUGACAAAUCCUAAUCUCGAUAUACGCCAACUCAACAAGUACCUUCGGAGACACCUGUAGAACACCUUUAUAAUCACCCAGUUACGUUGUGACGUUUGGUAGCACACAAAGUGUUCCUCCCGUAAACGGGAGUUGCAUAAUCUCAUAGUCAUAGGAACAUGUAUAAGUCAUGAAGAAAGCAAUAGCAACAUACUAAACGAUCAAGUGCUAAGCUAACGGAAUGGGUCAAGUCAAUCACAUCAUUCUCCUAAUGAUGUGAUCCCGUUUAUCAAAUGACAACUCAUGUCUAUGGUUAGGAAACAUAACCAUCUUUGAUCAACGAGCUAGUCAAGUAGAGGCAUACUUGUGACACUAUGUUUGUCUAUGUAUUCACACAUGUAUUAUGUUUCCGGUUAAUACAAUUCUAGCAUGAAUAAUAAACAUUUAUCAUGAAAUAAGGAAAUAAAUAAUAACUUUAUUAUUGCCUCUAGGGCAUAUUUCCUUUAGUCUCCCACUUGCACUCGAGUCAAUAAUCUAGUUCACAUCUUUAUGUGAUUAGUUCACAUCUCCAUGUGACUAAUACCCAAAGGGUUUACUAGAGUCAAUAAUCUAGUUGACAUCGCUAUGUGAUUAACACCCAAAUGGUGAUCAAUUUUUGCUUGUGAGAAAAUUUUAGUCACGGGUCUGCAACAUUUUGAUCCGUAUGUAUUUCGCAAAUUUCUAUGUCUACAAUGCUCUGCACGGAGCUACUCUAGCUAAUUGCUCCCACUUUCAAUAUGUAUCUAGAUCGAGACUUAGAGUCAUCUAGAUUGAUGUAAAAAGCUUGCAUCGACGUAACUCUUUACGACGAACUCUUUUAUCACCUCCAUAACCGAGAAAUAUUUCCUUAGUCCUCUAAGGAUAAUUUUGACCGCUGUCCAGUGAUCUACUCCUAGAUCACUAUUGUACUCCCUUGCUAGAAUCAUGCUAAGGUAUACAAUAGGACUGGUAAACAGCAUAUCAUACUUUAUAGAACCUAUGACUGAGGCAUAGGGAAUGACUUUUCAUUCUCUUUCUAUUUCCUAUUGUGGUCGGGUUUUGAGUCUUUACUCAACUUCACACCUUGCAACACAGGCAAGAACUUCUUCUUUGACUGUUCCAUUUUGAACUACUUCAAAAUCUUGUCAAGGUAUGUACUCAUUGAAAAAAACUUAUCAAGCGUCUUGAUCCAUCUCUAUAGAUCUUGAUGCUUAAUACGUAAGCAGCUUCAUCGAGGUCUUUCUUUGAAAAACUCUUUUCAAACACUCCUUUAUGCUUUCCAGAAAAUUCUACAUUAUUUCCGAUCAACAAUAUGUCAUUCACAUAUAUUUAUCAGAAAUGCUGUAGUGCUCCCACUCACUUUCUUGUAAAUACAGGCUUCACCGCAAGUCUGUAUAAAACUAUAUGCUUUGAUCAACUCAUCAAAGCGUAUAUUCCAACUCCGAGAUGCUUGCACCAGUCCAUAGAUGGAUCGCUAGAGCUUGCACAUUUUGUUAGCACCUUUAGGAUCGGCAAAACCUUCUGGUUGCAUCAUAUACAACUCUUCUUUAAGAAAUCCAUUAAGGAAUGUAGUUUUGACAUCCAUUUGCCAGAUUUCAUAAAAUGUGGCAAUUUGCUAACAUGAUUCGGACAAACUUAAGCAUCGCUACGAGUGAGAAAAUCUCAUCGUAGUCAACACCUUGAACUUUGUCAAAAACCUUUUUCGACAAGUCUAGCUUUGUAGAUAGUAACACUACUAUCAGCGUCCGUCUUCCUCUUGAAGAUCCAUUUAUUUUCUAUGGCUUGCCGAUCAUCGGUCAAGUCAACCAAAGUCCACACUUUGUUCUCAUACAUGGAUCCCAUCUCAGAUUUCAUGGCCUCAAGCCAUUUCGCGGAAUCUGGGCUCAUCAUCGCUUCCUCAUAGUUCGUAGGUUCGUCAUGGUCUAGUAACAUGACUUCCAGAAAGGAUUACCGUACCACUCUGGUAUGGACCAUACUCUGAUUGUCCUACGAGGUUCGGUAGUAACUUGAUCUGAAGUUUCAUGAUCAUCAUCAUUAGCUUCCUCACUAAUUGGUGUAGAGAUCACUAGAACAGAUUUCUGUGAUGAACUACUUUCCAAUAAGGGAGGAGGUACAGUUACCUCAUCAAGUUCUACUUUCCUCCCACUCACUUCUUUCGAGAGAAACUCCUUCUCUAGAAAGGAUCCAUUCUUAGCAAUGAAUGUCUUGCCUUCGGAUCUGUGAUAGAAGGUGUACCCAACUGUCUCCUUUGGGUAUCCUAUGAAGACAUAUUUCUCCGAUUUGGGUUUGAGCUUAUCAGGAUGAAACUUUUUCACAUAAGCAUCGCAACCCCAAACUUUAAGAAACGACAACUUUGGUUUCUUGCCAAACCACUGUUCAUAUGGUGUCGUCUCAACGGAUUUAGAUGGUGCCCUAUUUAAUGUGAAUGCAGCUGUCUCUAAUGCAUAACCCCAAAAUGAUAGUGGUAAAUCGGUAAGAGACAUAAUAAAUUGCACCAUAUCUAAUAAAGUAUGGUUACGAUGUUCGGACACACUAUUACGCUGUGGUGUUCCAGGUGGCGUGAGUUGCGAAACUAUUCCGCACUGUUUUAAAUGAAGACCUAGCUCGUAACUCAAAUAUUCUCCUCCACGAUCAGAUCGUAGAAACUUUCUUUUCUUGUUACGAUGAUUUUCCACUUCACUCUGAAAUUCUUUGAACUUUUCAAAUGUUUCAGAUUUAUGUUUCAUCAAGUAGGUCUACCCAUAUCUGUUCAAAUCAUCUGUGAAGGUCAGAAAAUAACGAUACCCGCCGCGAGCCUCAACACUCAUCGGAUCGCAUACAUCAGUAUGUAUUAUUUCCAAUAAGUCAGUUGCUCGCUCCAAUGUUCCGGAGAACGGAGUUUUAGUCAUCUUACCCAUAAGGCAUGGUUCGCAAGCAUCAAGUGAUUCAUAAUCAAGUGAUUCGAAAAUCCAAUCAGCAUGGAGUUUCUUCAUGCGCUUUACACCAAUAUGACCUAAACGGCAAUGCCACAAAUAAGUUGCACUAUCAUUAUUAACUUUGCAUCUUUUGGCUUCAAUAUUAUGAAUAUGUGUAUUACUACGAUCGAGAUCCAACAAACCAUUUUCAUUGGGUGUAUGACCAUAGAAGGUUUUAUUCAUGUAAACAAAACAACAAUUAUUCUCUAACUUAAAUGAAUAACCGUAUUGCAAUAAACAUGAUCAAAUCAUAUUCAUGCUCAACGCAAACACCAAAUAACACUUAUUUAGGUUCAACACUAAUCCCGAAAGUAUAGGGAGUGUGCGAUGAUGAUCAUAUCAAUCUUGGAACCACUUCCAACACACAUCAUCACUUCACCCUUAACUAGUCUCUGUUCAUUCUGCAACUCCCGUUUUGAGUUACUAAUCUUAGCAACUGAACUAGUAUCAAAUACUGAGGGGUUUCUAUAAACACUAGUAAAGUACACAUCAAUAACAUGUAUAUCAAAUAUACCUUUGUUCACUUUGCCAUCCGUCUUAUCCGCCAAAUUCUUGGGGCAGUUCUGCUUCCAGUGACCAAUCCCUUUGCAGUAGAAGCACUUAGUCUCAGGCUUAGGUCCAGACUUGGGCUUCUUCAGUUGAGCAGUAACUUGCUUGCCGUUCUUCUUGAAGCUCCCCUUCUUCCCUUUGCCCUUUUUCUUGAAACUAGUGGUCUUAGGGCUGGAAUUCGAGCCGAGUCGAGCCAACUCAGCUCGACUCGCUAGAGCUCAUUUCGUUAACGAGCUAGCUCGACUCGACUCGUUAUUAUAACGAGCUCAAUUUCAAGAUUGGCUCGACUCGUAUAACUCGCGAGCUGGCUCGUUUAGCUUGUUAAGCUCAUUAAAGAUAUGAACAUAAAACCAUCAAAUAUUAUAGAAAUGAUUAUGUAUAUACUAAACAUAUAUAUCACUAAACAAUAGUAAUUUCCUUGUAACACAUGAGUCUCCUAAAUGGCUGGGCCUUCAACGGUUAGGCCUUGUGUUGUGCGCCUGGGACAUAGGGUGCUGAGUGGCUGAUUUUUUUUGUAUUGGGAGUGGCUAAUCUUUUGUACCGAGCCUAACGAGUUACACGAGAACUCGUGAGAUUGGCUCGUUUAACUUGGUCUAUAAACGAUCUUAAACUAAAGCUCGGCUUGACUCGUUAUUCUUCGAGUUCGAGUCGAUUCGAGCCGAGUCACGAGCUACUUAUUUAGCUCGCGAGCUUCGAGCUUUUUUUCCAGCCCUAAGUGGUCUUGUCAACCAUCAACACUUGAAGUUUUUCUUGAUUUCUACCUUCGCCGAUUUCUGCAUCGCGAAGAGCUCGGGAAUUACUUUCAUCACCCCUUGCAUAUUAUAGUUCAUCACUAAGUUCUAGUAACUUGGUGAUAGUGACUAGAGAACUUUGUCAAUUACUAUCUUAUCUGGAAGAUUAACUCCCACUUGAUUCAAGCAAUUGUAGUACCCAGACAAUCUGAGCACAUGCUCACUGGUUGAGCUAUUCUCCUCCAUCUUGUAGGCAAAGUACUUGUCAAAGGUCUCAUACCUCUCGACUCGGGCAUGAGUCUGAAAUACCAAUUUCAGCUCUUGGAACAUCUUAUAUGCUCUGUGGCGUUCAAAACGUUUUUGACGUCCCGAUUCUAAGCCGUAAAGCAUGGUGCACUAAACUAUCAAGUAGUCAUCAUACCGUGCAAUAGGUCUGUUACCUAGCAGUGCAUCAAGGACAUAAUACUUCUGUGCAGCAAUGAGGAUAACCCUCAGACCACGGAUCUAGUCCGCAUCAUUGCUACUAACAUCUUUCAACAUAGUUUUCUCUAGGAACAUAUCAUAAAUAAAACAGGGAACCUAUACGCGAGCAAUUGAUCUACAACAACAUAGACAAGCAAAAUACUAUCAGGUACUAAGUUCAUGAUAAAUUAAAGUUCAAUUAAUCAUAUUACUUAAGAACUCCCACGUAGAUAGACAUCCCUCUAAUCAUCUAAGUGAUCACGUGAUCCAAAUCAACUAAACCAUGUCCGAUCAUCACAUGAGAUGUAGUUUUCAAUGGUGAACAUCACUAUGUUGAUCAUAUCUACUAUAUGAUUCACGCUCGACCUUUCGGUCUCAGUGUUCCGAGGCCAUAUCUACAUAUGCUAGGCUCGUCAAGUUUAACCCGAGUAUUCUGCGUGUGUAAAACUGUCUUACACCCGUUGUAGAUGAACGUUGAGCUUAUCACACCCGAUCAUCACGUGGUGUCUCGGCACGACGAACUUUGGCAACGGUGCAUACUCAGGGAGAACACUUUUACCUUUAAAUUUAGUCAGAAAUCAUCUUAUAAUGCUACCGUCAAACAAAGCAGAAUAAGAUGCAUAAAGGAUAAACAUCACAUGCAAUCAAUAUAAGUGAUAUGAUAUGGCCAUCAUCAUCUUGUGCUUGUGAUCUCCAUCUCUGAAGCACCGUCAUGAUCACCAUCGUCACCGGUGCGACACCUUGAUCUCCAUGGUAGCAUCGUUGUCGUCUCGCCAAAUAUUGCUUCUACGACUAUCGCUACCGCUUAGUGAUAAAGUAAAGCAAUUACAGGGCGAUUGUAUUGCAUAUAAUAAAGCGACAACCAUAUGGCUCCUGCCAGUUGCCGAUAACUCCGUUAUAAAACAUGAUCAUCUCAUACAAUAAAAUAUAGCAUCAUGUCUUGACCAUAUCACAUCACAACAUGCCCUGCAAAAACAAGUUAGACGUCCUCCACUUUGUUGUUGCAAGUUUUACGUGGCUGCUACGGGCUGAGCAAGAACCGUUCUUACCUACGCAUCAAAACCACAAGGAUAGUUCGUCAAGUUAGUGAUGUUUUAACCUUCACAAGGACCGGGCGUAGCAACAGUCGGUUCAACUAAAGUUGGAGAAACUGACACCCGCCAGCCACCUGUGUGCAAAGCACGUCGGUAGAACCAGUCUCGCGUAAGCGUACGUGUAAUGUUGGUCCGGGCCGCUUCAUCCAACAAUACCACCGAACCAAAGUAUGACAUGCUGGUAAGCAGUAUGACUUGUAUCGCCCACAACUCACUUGUGUUCUACUCGUGCAUAUAACAUCUAUGAUAAACCUGGCUCGGAUGCCACUGUUGGGGAACGUAGUAAUUUCAAAAAAAAUUCCUACGCACACACAGGAUCAUGGUGAUGCAUAGCAAUGAGAGGGGAGAGUGUGUCCACUUACCCUCGUAGACCGAAAGCGGAAGCGUUAGCACAACGCGGUUGAUGUAGUCGUACGUCUUCACGAUCCGACCGAUCCAAGUACCGAACGCACGACACCUCCGAGUUCAGCACACGUUCAACUCGAUGACGUCCCGCGAGCUCCGAUCCAACAAAGCUUCGCAGGAGAGUUUAGUCAGCACGACGGCGUGAUGACGAUGAUGAUGUUGCUACCAACGCAGGGCUUCCCUAAGCACCGCUACGAUAUGAUCGAGGUGGAUUAUGGUGUAGGCGGCACCACACAUGGUUGGGAGAGAUCAACAUAUCAACUUGUGUGUCUCCAAGGGGUGCCCCCCUCCCUGUAUAUAAAGGAGUGGAGGAGGGGGAGGAGGCCGGCCUCCCUAGGCGCACCCCAUGAGGAGUCCUACUCCCACCAGGAGUAGGACUCCCCCUUCCAAGUAGGAGUAGGAGAAGGAAGGGAGAGAGGAAGAGAAGGAAAAGGGGGGCGCCCCCCCUCCUUGUCCAAUUCGGACUAGAGGGGGAGGGGGCGCGCGGCUGCCCUGGCCGCCCCUCCUCUUCUCCCACUAAGGCCUAUGAGGCCCAAUUAACUCCCCGGUGGGCUCCAGUAACCCUCCGGUACUCCGGUAUAUGCCCGAAACCUCCCGGAACCCUUCCGGUGUCCAAACAUAGUCGUCCAAUAUAUCGAUAUUUACGUCUCGACCAUUUUAAGACUCCUCGUCAUGUCCGUGAUCAUAUCCGGGACUCCGAACUACCUUUGGUACAUCAAAACACUAAAACUCAUAAUACCGAUCGUCACCGAACUUUAAGCGUGCGGACCCUACGGGUUCAAGAACAAUGUAGACAUGACCGGGACACAUCUCCGGUCAAUAACCAAUAGCGAAACCUGGAUGCUCAUAUUAGCUCCUACAUAUUCUAGGAAGAUCUUUAUCGGUCAAACUGCAUAACAACAUAUGUUGUUCCCUUUGUCAUCGGUAUGUUACUUGCCCGGGAUUCGAUCGUCGGUAUCUCAAUACCUAGUUCAAUCUCGUUACCGGCAAGUCUCUUUACUCGUUCCGUACUACAUCAUCCCGCAACUAACUCAUUAGUUACAAUGCUUGCAAGGCUUAUAGUGAUGUGCAUUACCAAGUGGGCCCAGAGAUACCUCCCCGACAAUCGGAGUGACAAAUCUUAAUCUCGAUAUACGCCAACUCAACAAGUACCUUCAGAGACACCUGUAGAGCACCUUUAUAAUCACCCAGUUACGUUGUGACGUUUGGUAGCACACAAAGUGUUCCUCCAGUAAACGGGAGUUGCAUAAUCUCAUAGUCAUAGGAACAUGUAUAAGUCAUGAAGAAAGCAAUAGCAACAUACUAAACGAUCAAGUGCUAUGCUAACGAAAUGGGUCAAGUCAAUCACAUCAUUCUCCUAAUGAUGUGAUCCCAUUUAUCAAAUGACAACUCAUGUCUAUGGUUAGGAAACAUAACCAUCUUUGAUCAACGAGCUAGUCAAGUAGAGGCAUACUAGUGACACCAUGUUUGUCUAUGUAUUCACACAUGUAUUAUGUUUCCGGUUAAUACAAUUUUAGCAUGAAUAAUAAACAUUUAUCAUGAAAUAAGGAAAUAAAUAAUAACUUUAUUAUUGCCUCUAGGGCAUAUUUCCUUCACCGGUUGGUGGCACCAACCGGGACCAAUAGGCAUCCACGCGUUAGCAGCUGGCAGGAGCUGAGGUUUUUGUUUUUUUCUUCUGAAAGGGGGUGGUUUAGGGGGUAAUUUAGGGUGUGUUAGCUAGCUAACAGAGAGAAGUGUCCUCUCUUAUUUCCGUGCUUGGUUUACCAACGCUACUGCUAUGCCUAAACAUGGCUUAGAUUAAAGUGAAGGCAACGUGUGGUGCAUGUCAAAAGUAAUACUAAUCGUAACUUGAUCAAGUUUGAAUUAGUACUACUUUCGACAUGCACCACAUGCUUGGUGCCUUCACUUCAAUCCAAUCCAUGUUCAUUUCACCCACCGAUAUAUAAUAACUCCUCAUGCCCGCAUCAUGCAUCAUCAUAAUAAUAAGUCCUACUAAUCAUCACCAUACAACUUCUACUCGUUAUUAAUAACAAGUCAUAAGAUCAUCAUCCUCAUAGUCAUCGAACGAACCCUACUUAAUUGUUCUAGGCACAUGAUCAUCAGUAUUAGGUGGGACCUAAAUACCCUCUUUAAGGUAAAAUAGCAUAAAACAAUAUAGACCCUGACUCUCCAUUAUGGAGAAUGGAGAUCAUCCUGUCUCCAAUUCUUGCGCUUCGCUUCCUUUUGCUUCAGAGAACCUCCUUACGACUGUCCAUACAUUUUUUCCAUUCCUUGAUUUUCAUGUCUCCACUUCUUUUAGAAAUCCGGUAUGGACAGUUGAGAUUCGUAGGAUGACCUGGACGUAUGUUCAAAACAUCAAGGCGACCACUCUGAUACAUCAGAUGAGGCACACAACCAUUCGGGAUUUCCUUUUGAAAAACAUAUAGUAAUAACUUCGUAGUUAGCAAUGUAGUUAAGUUUUAAAAGAAUUUAUGCAAAAGAUGCACGAAUGUCGUAAUACUAAAAAAUCUUACCAUGGCAUCUCCAUGGAUGUUACCGUAGUUCAACACGUGCACUAGUGGCACGUAUUGACCAUAAUGUGGAGGAGUUUUAUAAUAGAUAUUGUAAUUCUCAAGAUCAGUACAAAAUGCGACCAGAUGAUUUUUCUCCUUAUAAGUUAACUCAGAGCCAUCGGUGUAGUAGGUUAUGUCUACGUACCAUGUUCCGCACAUUGUUUGAACAAUCAAAAUAAGCUGUCAAUGGAAAUAAGUUGUCAACUAUUUUGAAAUGAACAAUAUAAAUUAGUUAAUAACUAUGUUUGAGAAACUCACAUAGCGGUAGAAUUGGAGGCGUAUCAACAAGGACCCAAAUGUACAUAUUGUCUUGGUCGAUGUCAGGAUCACCAAGAUCCAUGAUGACAAGCAUACCCUCAUCAAAAUCAUACAUCUUGCAAAAUGCUUCCCAAUUUUUGCAACCAAAAUGGGUUACGCUCUCAGAAUUAUACAGAUUUACUUCAAAAUCCAUAUCAUGAUGGGUCCUUAGGUGAAUUUUCUUUGUUUCCAUACUUUCAUGGUCUUCAAAACCCAUCCUCUCCAAGACAUAGCGUCUUGCAUGGCAUGGGAUAAGCUAAUCGAAUUGUAAAAGAUGAAAAUUACACGUUGAAAUAGUUGAAGUCGUGCUUAAUUACGAAAAAAUAACACUUGUCGUCGUUGCGUACCGUUUCAACAUCGAAGGUCUCCUCCAGCUUAAUGCUGAAGCGCCGACCUUCGUCCAGGUGAGGCCUGUCGCACAGACCUCGGUUUCCGUGGCACCAGUCGCACUCCCCCGGGAGACUUUCGUCGUCCGAGUACGACAUUUCCUAUGUUCAUAAUUCAAAUAUUAAACUUGUACAAUUAAAUAUAUGUACUAAAAAACCUAAAUUAGAUCAUUAUUAUUCAACACGGGUUGACUAUCGGUCUGUCGAGUCUUUUCUUGAAAACUCUCAGCUCACGUGGUGUACAUAUUCGACCGUUGGUGAUGGUAGCUCCUCCUUUCAUCCCCGAGUGCAUUACACCAAGUUGUCUAGCACACGGGAAUGAAGGAGAAGCUACCCCCACAACAACAGUUGGGAUUCUUCGUCCUCUCAUAUAUGGUGGAGACUCGACAGACUUAAAGUCAACCCAAAAUAUAGUUUAAUUAUCUUUCUAAAAAAGGACAUAUCGUCCUCUCAUAUAUAGGACUCAUAUUGACAUGGAGAUUUGGCUGGUCUCACCUCGAGGUCGGAGGGGGGUCGGUGAUGGGGACGACGGCGGGGAUGAUGGAGGGGCUCCUAGAUUUCUGGGAAAACAAAAACCCUAUAAGUUAUCAACUAAUCAAAUGCAUAUGCCUUGCAUAGUGCUCUACAAUUUUAGCAUUCAAAGUAGGAGUACUUUUCCAAUUUGAGCAUUCAAUAAGCAAAACCAAAUCGUAAAAUAAAGUAGUAUUCAAAUUAGCACACAUUCAAUUAUAAGCAAAACUACAUCAUCUCUUGCGUCCGUACAUCGUCAAAUAUUAUCACUAAUACACCUUGAAUACUAUCAUACAUAUAGCAUCGCUAAUACAGCUAGAACCGUAGCGCCCGACGGGUAUCGGCGCGGGCGGUGGACACCCAAAGAGAAGGAACCAUCACAGGAUCAUAGGUCCAGUGAGAUCCCUGAAGAACCUGCCAGGUAUUGUCAAACCUGCCCUCCAACGCAACCAUGUAGCGACGGACGUGCUCGUCCUCCUCGCUGACAUGGUGACGUACCACCUCCGCGGUGUCCGAAAGCCUCGUCACCGUCACUGGCCCACGUGACCUCCACCAAACAAGAAUCGGGUCAACGACGGGCUGACUCCUCACCAACCUACACCCCCCGGAAGGUAGCACCUCCCAAUACCAUCCCGGCGGAGCCCAGUCCCGGACAUGGCCCCUCUGAUCACGCCGGCCUCCUCCGCCGAGUCGACGACGAGGAUGCGGGAUAGGCAUUGUCGACGUCGAUGCGGGAAUAAUUGCUUGAACUAAAAAAUAAACUAGUUCUAUUAAUUUUCUUGCUCAAAAUAAACUACUUCUAUAUAUAGUAAAAUAAAGUAGUUUUCUUAAAUCAACUAGUUCAGCUACUACUAAGCACUUAAUUACUAUAAAUAAAAUAAAGUAGUACUUACUAAAAAUAAACUACUUCUAUAUAUAGUAAAAUAAAGUAGUUUUAUUAAAUCAACUAGUUCAACUACUAAGCACUUACUAUAAAUAAAAUAAAGUAGAACUUACUAAAAAUAAACUACUUCUAUAUAUAGUAAAAUAAAGUAGUUUUAUUAAAUCAACUAGUUCAACUACUAAUUAAGCACUUACUAUAAAUAAAAUAAAGUAGUACUUACUAAAAAUAAACUACUUCUAUAGUAAAAUAAAGUAGUUUUAUUAAAUCAACUAGUUCAACUACUAAGCACUUACUAUAAAUAAAAUAAAGUAGUACUUACUAAAAAUAAACUAGUUUAACUAGUUCUAUUAUUAAUCGACCCCCCCUCAUGUCAAAGUUAUCGGGGAGGGGGUAUAUCGAGAAUGAAAGUGCGUUAUAUCAACUAGAGGGGGGUGAAUAGGCGAUUUUUAUAAAUUCUUCACUCAGGAAUUUGUGGGUGAGGAAAUUCCUUAGCGAAGAACUACUUGCAGCGGAAUAAGUACUCAAAAGUAUGCAUAGCAGAACACAAGCAUAGUCAUCAUGAUGAAAUGAAAACAAGCACAGAGUACAGAAAGUGUAAACACAGGAUAACACAGGAUGAAGACAAACAGACUGAGGAAAUUGAACUGAGGAAAUUGAGAAAGUCUUCAGUCAAAGUCUUCAAACACAGAUAUGAACAAUUGCACAACACAGGAAUGAGGAAAUGAAAGAGUUGAGGAAAUAGAACCAGUUGCCUUGGUGAAGACAAUGAUUUGGUAGACCAGUUCCAACUGAUGUCUCAGUUGUACGUCUGGUUGGAGCGGCUAGUAUUUAAACCUGAGUGUUGGAAAUAUGCCCUAGAGGCAAUAAUAAAUGGUUAUUAUUAUAUUUCUUUGUUCAUGGUAAUUGUCUAUUAUUCAUGCUAUAAUUGUACUGUCAUAGACCACAACCUGUCCCUAGUAAGCCUCUAGUUGACUAGCUCGUUGAUCAACAGAUAGUCAUGGUUUCCUGACUAUGGACAUUGGAUGUCAUUGAUAACGGGAUCACAUCAUUAGGAGAAUGAUGUGAUGGACAAGACCCAACUUAAGCAUAGCAUAAAAGAUCGUGUAGUUUCGUUUGCUAGAGCUUUUCCAAUGUCAAGUAUCUUUUCCUUAGACCAUGAGAUCGUGCAACUCCCGGAUACCGUAGGAGUGCUUUGGGUGUGCCAAACGUCACAACGUAACUGGGUGACUAUAAAGGUGCAUUACGGGUAUCUCCGAAAGUGUCUGUUGGGUUGGCACAGAUCGAGACUGGGAUUUGUCACUCCGUGUAAACGGAGAGGUAUCUCUGGGCCCACUCGGUAAUGCAUCAUCAUAAUGAGCUCAAUGUGACUAAGGCGUUAGUCACGGGAUCAUGCAUUGCGGUACGAGUAAAGAGACUUGCCGGUAACGAGAUUGAACAAGGUAUUGGGAUACCGACGAUCGAAUCUCGGGCAAGUAACAUACCGAUUGACAAAGGGAAUUGCAUACAGAUUGAUUGAAUCCUCGACACCGUGGUUCAUCCGAUGAUAUCAUCGUGGAACAUGUGGGAGCCAACAUGGGUAUCCAGAUCCCGCUGUUGGUUAUUGACCGGAGAGGCGUCUCGGUCAUGUCUGCAUGUCUCCCGAACCCGUAGGGUCUACACACUUAAGGUCCGGUGACGCUAGGGUUGUAGAGAUAUAUGUAUGCGGAAACCCGAAAGUUGUUCGGAGUCCCGGAUGAGAUCCCGGACGUCACGAGAGGUUCCAGAAUGGUCCGGAGGUAAAGAUUUAUAUAUGGGAAGUCUUAUUUUGGUCGCCGGAAAAGUUUCGCGCUUUAUCGGUAUUGUACCGGGAGUGCCGAAAGGGGUCCGGGGGUCCACCAGCCCCGGGGGGCCACAUGGGCUGUAAGGGGUGCGCCUUGGCCUAUAUGGGCCAAGGGCACCAGCCCCAAGAGGCCCAUGCGCAAGAGAUAAGAAAAAGGGGAGAGUCCUAAAGGGGGAAGGCACCUCCGAGGUGCCUUGGGGGGGAAGGACUCCCCCCUGGCCGCACCCUUCCUUGGAGGAAGGGGCAAGGCUGCGCCCCCCCCUCUCCCUUGGCCCUAUAUAUAGUGGGGGGAAGGAAGGGCAGCAAGAUCUAAGCCUUGGGCGCCUCCCUCCUCCCCUGCAACACCUCUCUCUCUCUCUCUCGCAGAAGCUUGCGAAGCCCUGCCGGAGACCCGCUACAUCCACCACCACGCCGUCGUGCUGUUGGAUCUCCAUCAACCUCUCCUCCCCCCUUGCUGGAUCAAGAAGGAGGAGACGUCGCUGCACCGUACGUGUGUUGAACGCGGAGGUGCCGUACGUUCGGCACUCGGUCAUCGGUGAUUUGGAUCACGGCGAGUACGACUCCGUCAUCCACGUUCAUUGGAACGCUUCCGCUCGCGAUCUACAAGGGUAUGUAGAUGCACUCCCUUCCCCUCGUUGCUAGUAGAUUCCAUAGAUGCAUCUUGGUGAGCGUAGAAUUUUUUUAAAAUUAUGCUACGAUUCCCAACAGUGGCAUCAUGAGCCAGGUCUAUGCGUAGUUACUAUGCACGAGUAGAACACAAAGCAGUUGUGGGCGUUGAGUUUGCCAAUUCUUCUUGCCGCUACUAGUCUUUUCUUGUUUCGGCGGCAUUGUAGGAUGAAGCGGCCCGGACCGACCUUACACGUACUCUUACGUGAGACAGGUUCCACCGACUGACAUGCACUAGAUGCAUAAGGUGGCUAGCGGGUGGUUGUCUCUCCUACUUUAGUCGGAACGGAUUCGAUGAAAAGGGUCCUUAUGAAGGGUAAAUAGAAAUUGGCAAAUCACGUUGUGGUCAUACGUAGGUAAGAAACGUUCUUGCUAGAAACCAACAAACCACGUAAAAACUUGCAACAACAAUUAGAGGACGUCUAACUUGUUUUUGCAGCAAGUGCUAUGUGAUGUGAUAUGGCCAGAAGAUGUGAUGAAUGAUAUAUGUGAUGUAUGAGAUUGAUCAUAUUCUUGUAAUAGGAAUCACGACUUGCAUGUCGAUGAGUAUGACAACCGGUAGGAGCCAUAGGAGUUGUCUUUAUUAUUUUGUAUGACCUGCGUGUCAUUGAAUAACGCCAUGUAAAUUACUUUACUUUAUUGCUAAGCGCGUUAGCCAUAGAAGUAGAAGUAAUCGUUGGCGUGACCACUUCAUGAAGACACAAUGAUGGAGAUCAUGAUGAUGGAGAUCAUGGUGUCAUGCCGGUGACAAAGAUGAUCAUGGUGCCCCAAAGAUGGAGAUCAAAGGAGCAUAAUGAUAUUGGCCAUAUCAUGUCACUAUUUGAUUGCAUGUGAUGUUUAUCAUGUUUUUGCAUCUUAUUUGCUUAGAACGACGGUAGCAAGUAGGAUGAUCCCUUAUAAUAAUUUCAAGAAAGUGUUCACCCUAACUGUGCACCGUUGCGAAGGUUCGUCGUUUCGAAGCACCACGUGAUGAUCGGGUGUGAUAGAUUCUUACGUUCGAAUACAACGGGUGUUGACGAGCCUAGCAUGUACAGACAUGGCCUCGGCACACACGCAAUACACUUAGGUUGACUUGACGAGCCUAGCAUGUACAGACAUGGCCUCGGAACACGGAGGACCGAAAGGUCGAGCAUGAGUCGUAUAGAAGAUACGAUCAACAUGGAGAUGUUCACCGAUCUUGACUAGUCCGUCUCACGUGAUGAUCGGACACGGCCUAGUUAAACUCGGAUCAUGUUUCACUUAGAUGACUAGAGGGAUGUCUAUCUGAGUGGGAGUUCAUAAUCAGAUGAACUUCAUUAUCAUGAACAUAGUCAAAAAGGUAUUUGCAAAUUAUGUCAUAGCUUGCGCUUUAGUUCUACUGGUUAAGAUAUGUUCCUAGAAAAAAUUUAGUUGAAACUUGGUAGUAGCAAUUAUGCGGACUGGGUCCGUAAACUGAGGAUUGUCCUCAUUACUGCACAGAAGGCUUAUGUCCUUAAUGCACCGCUCGGUGUGCUGAACCUCAGCGUCGUCUGUAGAUUUUACAAAACAUCUGACAUACACGUUUUGAUGACUACGUGAUAGUUCAGUGCGGUUUAGAAUUGUGGCACCAAAGACGUUUUUGAAACGUCGCAGAACAUGAGAGAUGUUCCGAAGACUGAAAUUGGGAUUUCAGACUAGUGCCCACGUCAAGAGGUAUGAGACCUCUGACAAGUUUCUUAAGCCUGCAAACUAAGGGAGAAAAGCUCAAUCGUUGAGCGUGUGCUCAGAUUGCCUGAGUGCCACAAUCGCUUGAAUCGAGUGGGAGUUAAUCUCCCAGAUGAGAUAGUGAUAGUUCUCCAUAGUCACUGCCACCAAGCUAGUAGAGCUUCGUGAUGAACUAUAACAUAUCAAGGACAAUUAUGAUGAUCCUUGAGCUAUCCGCGAUGUUUGACACCGCGAGAGUAGAAAUCAAGAAGGAGCAUCAAUUGUUGAUGGUUAGUAAAACCACUAGUUUAAGAAGGGCAAGGGAAAAAGGGAUACUUCAUGAAACAGCAAGUCGUUUGCUGCUCUAGUGAAGAAUCCCAAGGUUGAACCCAAACCCGAGACUAAGUGCUUCUGUAUUGAGAGGAACGGUCACUAAAGCAGUACUACCCUAGAUACUUGGUAGAUGAGAAGGCAGGCAAGGUCGACAGAAGUAUAUUGGAUAUACGUUAUAUGAAUGUGUACUUUACUAGUACUCCUAGCAGCACCAGGGUAUUAGAUACUGGUUCGGUUGCUAAGUGUUAGUAACUCGAAAUAAAAGCUGCGGAAUAAAUGGAGACUAGCUAAAGGUGAGAUGACGAUAUGUGUUGGAAGUGUUUCCAAGGUUGAUGUGAUCAAGCAUCGCAUGCUCCCUCUACCAUCGAGAUUUGGUGUUUGCGUUGAACAUGAUUGGAUUAUGUUUACCGCAAAACGGUUAUUCAUUUAAGGAGAAUAAUGGUUACUCUGUUUAUUUGAAUAAUACCUUCAAUGGUCUUGCACCUAAAAUGAAUCUCGAUCGUAUUGAUACACAUGUUCGUGCCAAAAGAUAUAAAAUAGUAAUGAUAGUACCACAUACUUGUGGCACUGCAAUUUGAGUCAUAUUGGUAUAGAACGCAUAAGAAGCUCCAUGUAGAUGGAUCUUUGGACUCAGUCAUUUUUGAAAAGAUUGAGACAUGCGAACCAUGUCUAUUGGUAUAUAUGCAUGAAGAAACUCCAUGCAGAUGGAUCGUUUGGACUCACUUGAUUUUGAAUCACUUGAGACAUGCAAAUCAUACCACAUGGGCAAGAUGACUGAAAGGCCUCGUUUUCAGUAAGAUGGAACAAGAGAGCAACUUAUUGGAAGUAAUACAUUUUGAUGUAUGCAGUCCAAUGAGUGCUGAGGCAUGCAGUGGAUAUCGUUGUGUUCUUACUUCACAGAUGAUUUGAGUAGAUGCUGAGUGUAUUUACUUGAUGAAACACAAGUCUGAAUUAUUGAAAUGUUCAAGUAAUUUCAGAGUGAAGUUGAAGAUCAUCGUGACAAGAGGAUAAAAUGUCUGUGAUAUGAUCAUAGAGAUGAGUAUCUGAGUUACGAGUUUGGCACACAAUUGAGACAUUGUGAAAAGUGUUUCACAAUUAAUACCGCCUGGAACACCAUAGUGUGAUGGUGUGUCUGAACAUCAUAACUGCACCCUAUUGGAUAUGGUGCAUACCAUGAUGUUUCUUAUCAAAUUUACCACUAUCGUUUAUGGGUUAGGCAUUAGAGACAACCGCAUUCACUUUAAAAGGGGCACCACGCAAUUCCGUUGAGACGACACCGUUUAUAGAAACCUAAGUUGUCGUUUCUUAAAAGUUUGGGGCUGCGAUGCUUAUGUGAAAAAGUUUCAGGUGAUAAGCUCGAACCCAAAGCGGAUAAAUGCAUCUUCAUAGAAUACCCAAAAACAGUUGGGUAUACCUCCUAUUUCAGAUCUGGAAGCAAAAGUAAUUGCUUCUAGAAACGAGUCCUUUCUCGAGGAAAAGUUUCUCUCGAAAGAAUUGAGUGGGAGGAUGGUGGAGACUUGAUAAGGUUAUUGAACCGUCGCUUCAACUAGUGUGUAGCAGGGCACAGGAAGUUGUUCCUGUGGCACCUACACCAAUUGAAGUGGAAGCUUAUGAUAGUGAUCAUGAAACUUCGGAUCAAUUCACUACCAAACCUCGUAGGACGACGAGGAUGCGCACUACUUCAGAGUAAUGUGUGAUCCUGUCUUGGAAGUCAUGUUGCUAGACAACAAUGAACCUACGAGCUAUGGAGAAGCAAUGGUGGGCCCAUAUUCCGAUGAAUGGCUCGAGGCCAUGAAAUCCGAGAUAGAAUCCAUGUAUCAGAACAAAGCAUGGACUUUGGUGAACUUGCCCGAUGAUCGGCAAGCCAUUGAGAUAAAUGGAUCUUUAAGAAGAAGACGGACAUGGACGGUAAUGUUACCUUCUAUGAAGCUCGACUUGUGGCAAAGAGUAUUUUCACAAGUUCAAGGAGUUGACUACGAUGAGUUUUUCUCAUCCGUAGCGAUGCUUAGGUCCGUCGGAAUCAUGUUAGCAUUAACUACAUUUAUGAAAUCUGGCAGAUGGAUGUCAAAACAAGUUUCCUUACCAGUCUUCGUAAGGAAAGGUUGUAUGUGAUACAAUCAGAAAGGUUUUGUCGAUCCUAAGGAUGCUAAAAGGUAUGCUAGCUCCAGCGAUCCUUCCAUGGAUCAGAGCAAGCAUCUCGGAGUCAGAAUAUACGCUUUGAUGGGGUGAUCAAAGUUUUUGGGUUUAUACAAAGUUUGUUAGAAACUUGUAUUUACAAUAAAGUGAGUGGGAGCGCUACAACAUUUCUGAUAAGUAUAUGUGAAUGACAUAUUGUUGAUCCGAAAUGAUGUAAAAUUUCUGGAAAGCAUAAAGGGUUGUUUGAAAGGAGUUUUUCAAAGGAAGACCUGGAUAAAGCUUCUUACAUAUUGGGCAUCAAUAUCCAUAGAGAUAGAUCAAGACGCCUGAUGAUACUUUCAAAAGACAGCACACCUUGACAUGAUUUUGAAAGAGUUCAAAAUAGAUCAGCAAAGAAGGAGUUCUUGGCUGUGUUACAAGGUGUGAGUAUUGAGUGAGACUCAAGACCUGACCACAGCAGAAGAUAGAGAAAGGACGAAGGUCGUCCCCUAUGCUUUAGACGUAGGCUCUAUAGUAUGCUAUGCUGUGUACCGCACAUGUAGUGUGCCUUGCCAUGAGUUGGUCAAGGGGGUACAAUGGUGAUCCGGAAAGGAUCUCAUGACAGCGGUCGAACUUAUCCUUAGUACCUAGUGGAUUAAGGAAUUUUUCUCGAUUAUGGAGGUGGAAAGGAGUUCGUCGUAAAGGGUUACGUCGAUGCGAACUUUGACACUAAUCCGGAUAACUCUGAGUAGUAAACCGGAUUCGUAUAGUAGAGCAAUUAUUUGAAAUGGCUCCAAAUAGCGCGUGGUAGCAUCCACAAGAUGACAUAGAUGUUCGUAAAGCACACGGUUCUGAAAGGUUCAGACCCGUUGACUAAUAAUCUCUCUCACAAGCAUAACAUGACCAAACCAGAACACAUUGAGUGAUAAUCACAUAGUGAUGUGAACUAGAUUGUUGACUCUAGUAAACUCUUUUGAUGUUGGUCACAUGGUGAUGUGACCAGUGAGUGGUAAUCACAUGGUGAUGUGAACUAGAUUAUUGACUCUAGUGCAAGUGGGAGAUUGUUGGAAAUAUGCCCUAGAGGCAAUAAUAAAUGGUUAUUAUUAUAUUUCUUUGUUCAUGCUAAUUGUCUAUUAUUCAUGCUAUAAUUGUAUUGUCCGGAAAACAUAAUACAUGUGUGAAUACAUAGACCACAACCUGUCCCUAGUAAGCCUCUAGUUGACUAGCUCGUUCAUCAACAGAUAGUCAUGGUUUCCUGACUAUGGACAUUGGAUGUCAUUGAUAACGGGAUCACAUCAUUAGGAGAAUGAUGUGAUGGACAAGACCCAACUUAAGCAUAGCAUAAACGAUCGUGUAGUUUCGUUUCCUAGAGCUUUUCCAAUGUCAAGUAUCUUUUCCUUAGACCAUGAGAUCGUGCAACUCCCGGAUACCGUAGGAGUGCUUUGGGUGUGCCAAACGUCACAACGUAACUGGGUGACUAUAAAGGUGCAUUACGGGUAUCUCCGAAAGUGUCUGUUGGGUUGGCACGGAUCGAGACUGGGAUUUGUCACUCCGUGUAAACGGAGAGGUAUCUCUGGGCCCACUCGGUAAUGCAUCAUCAUAAUGAGCUCAAUGUGACUAAGGCGUUAGUCACGGGAUCAUGCAUUGCGGUACGAGUAAAGAGACUUGCCGGUAACGAGAUUGAACAAGGUAUUGGGAUACCGACGAUCGAAUCUCGGGCAAGUAACAUACCGUUUGACAAAGGGAAUUGCAUACGGAUUGAUUGAAUCCUCGACACCGUGGUUCAUCCGAUGAUAUCAUCGUGGAACAUGUGGGAGCCAACAUGGGUAUCCAGAUCCCGCUGUUGGUUAUUGACCGGAGAGGCAUCUUGGUCAUGUCUGCAUGUCUCCCGAACCCGUAGGGUCUACACACUUAAGGUCCGGUGACGCUAGGGUUGUAGAGAUAUAUGUAUGCGGAAACCCGAAAGUUGUUCGGAGUCCCGGAUGAGAUCCCGGAUGUCACGAGAGGUUCCGGAAUGGUCCGGAGGUAAAGAUUUAUAUAUGGGAAGUCUUAUUUUGGUCGCCGGAAAAGUUUCGCGCUUUAUCGGUAUUGUACCGGGAGUGCCGAAAGGGGUCCGGGGGUCCACCAAGGGGGUCCACCAGCCCCGGGGGGGCACAUGGGCUGUAAGGGGUGCGCCUUGGCCUAUAUGGGCCAAGGGCACCAGCCCCAAGAGGCCCAUGCGCAAGAGAUAAGAAAAAGGGGAGAGUCCUAAAGGGGGAAGGCACCUCCGAGGUGCCUUGGGGAGGAAGGACUCCCCCCUGGCCGCACCCUUCCUUGGAGGAAGGGGCAAGGCUGCGCCCCCCCCUCUCCCUUGGCCCUAUAUAUAGUGGGGGGAAGGAAGGGCAGCAAGAUCUAAGCCUUGGGCGCCUCCCUCCUCCCCUGCAACACCUCUCUCUCUCUCGCAGAAGCUUGCGAAGCCCUGCCGGAGACCCGCUACAUCCACCACCACGCCGUCGUGCUGUUGGAUCUCCAUCAACCUCUCCUCCCCCCUUGCUGGAUCAAGAAGGAGGAGACGUCGCUGCACCGUACGUUCGGCACUCGGUCAUCGGUGAUUUGGAUCACGGCGAGUACGACUCCGUCAUCCACGUUCAUUGGAACGCUUCCGCUCGCGAUCUACAAGGGUAUGUAGAUGCACUCCCUUCCCCUCGUUGCUAGUAGACCCCAUAGAUGCAUCUUGGUGAGCGUAGAAAUUUUUUAAAAUUAUGCUACGAUUCCCAACACUGAGGACACCCAGUCCCGGACACACAGUCCUCACCGUAUUCUCCUUGAACUAAGGUCACAGACCUCGUCCAAUCACUCGUGGUAACUCUUCAGGUGACUUCCGAACCUUCACAAACUCGGUCACUCGGCAAUCCACAAUUUCCUCUUGGAUGCUCUAGACCAUGACGCCUAACCGUCUGGAAGAAGCACAGUCUUCAAAGGUAACAAGCGUCGGAUCCACGCAGGAUCAAUCUCUUCAGUGAUGCUCAAUCACUUUGGGUUUGUAGGUGUUUGGGUUUGGGGUUUUUCCUCACUUGAUAAUUUUCGCUCAAAGUCCUCGGAGGAUGGGAUGCUCUCAAAUGACAAGUGUCAGUUUCUCUCGGAGCAGCCAACCAGCUAGUGGUUGUAGGGGGCGGCUAUUUAUAGCCUAGGGAGCAGCCCGCAUGAUAAGACAUAAAUGCCCUUCAAUCAUAUGACCGUUAGGUGGGUAGAUAUUUUGGGAUAGCUGGCGCAUAACACAGCAACGGUCGGAAAUUUGAGGUUCAAAUUCCUCAGGGCUAUCAUGUUCCUCACUGUGUGGGCAAUCCGCACUGGCGAAUUCCUAACUCCUCAGUCAGAACAAAUUCCUCAGAGACCAGAAGAACUUCGUCUCUGUCACUGAAGAAUAUGACUGAACUGUAUGAGAUUUCCAAUGGCUUCACUCGAAGGUAUUGGUAGGUGUAGGAUUUUGAGUUGAGCAUCACAUGGAAAUUUUUUCCUUAGUAUUUCCUCGACCCCCUUUAACGGUACGGUGUUUCCUAUGACUCAAGAAAGACAAAAUGAAACUACGAAAACAAAAGUCUUCACGCUUCAUAUUCCUCAAAUGAAUACCAAGUCUUCAAGGUCACACCAAUUUCUUCACUUUCAAAGUCUUCAGAAAGUCUUCAGAAAUCCAAAGUCUUCAGUCGAAGAACUUCAUUUUUAGGGGUCGACUUUCUCUGUAAAUAUCAAACUCCUCAUAGACUUAUAGACCUGUGUACACUCAUAAACACAUUAGUCCCUUAACCUAUAAGUCUUCAAUACACCAAAAUCACUAAGGGGCACUAGAUGCACUUAAAAUCUCCCCCUUUUUGGUGAUUGAUGACAAUAUAGGUUAAGUUUUCAACGGGGAUAAACAUAUGAAGUGUAAAUACUGAUAUUGAGGAAUUUGAUUGCAAGAUAUAGAAGAACUCCCCCUGAAGAUGUGCAUAGUGAGGAAUUUGCUUUUGAAGCAAUGCACACUUGAAGAGUUGAAUCAUGGAGAUCUCCCCCUAUAUCUUGUAAUUCAUACACGCAUUUGACAUAAUAUAUGAAGAAUUUGAAAUGCAUGAUGAAAUAUGGUGACUGAUGUAAUUCAGCAUGUGCGCAAUAACAUUAACGAGGAAUGCAGAAGAAACAGCAAAAGUAUCAGGUCACCAUAGAGUUUAAGUUUACAACUUGAUCCAGCAAAGUCUUCAAAAGAACGAGAGUUGCAACUUAAAAAACGCCCAUUUAAGAUAGACCCGCUUGAAGACUAAAUCAAAUUUCUCCCCCUUUGUCAUCAAAUGACCAAAAGGGUCGAAAAUGAGGACUAGCGCCCUUGAAGAAUAUCAAGGUGAUGAAGGAGCGUCAGCGUUGUUGGGGUCGGUUGUUUGAGUAGGGCCUGCCGCAGUGUCGUCCAAAUCUUCAUGUUCAUCAGUGUCACGUGAUGAAGAAUAGGAGCUGGCCACCAAGGAAGGAACCUUGACCUUCUUGUACUUCUUCGGAGGAGGUGCAGCCCAGUCAAGAUCGUCCUUGAGACCCAUUGUCUUCAGAUCUUCUUCACUAUAGACUUGAGACAGAACAUCCCAGGUGCGGUUGAGGAUUUCAUGAAGGUAGUAGUGGUUUUUCUUCACUGCAUUGUGGGUAGCAGUCAUGUUGUGAAGAAUUGAACCAAACUAACGCUUGACCCAUUUAUGAUUGCGAUCAACCUUCUGGUGAAGACUGAGGAGAAGCUCACGGUCAGUCAUCACCCUGGGUGCUGUGCCUUGAGAAUUUUGCUUGGGUGCGUUGGCGGCAGACUCAUGGGUGGCAGAGUCAUCAUUGGUGGAGUAGGAUGCAGCCUUGUGAAAUUGUCCAUCCAGUGGACGAAUGCCUUCAUCAAUUACAGCAGUAGCCUUGACCUUUUCAUCAGCUGAGGAAAAUGUCCAUUUGAGGACUUCAAUUGGGGGCAAGUAGCUGCAAUGGUUCAGUGUAUCAGCUUUAUAGUUGAGUGAAGACCUUGUCCUGAUGAAUCUCAUAAUCCAAGGUGCAUAAGGCUUCAACUCAAAUGGUGACAUGGCGACAUUAGCCAGAGUCCUCAUGAAGAAAUCAUGGAAGUUGAUGGGAAUGCCAUGAAUGAUAUUGAAAAGCAGAUUCUUCAUGAUGCCAACGACUUCUUCUUCAUUUGAGUCGUGGCCCUUGAUUGGACUCAAUGUCUUCGUCAGAAUGCGAUAGACAGUCCGAGGCACAUACAACAAUUCCUUCAGAAGGAAUCUUGUUCUUGAGGUCUGACCUGGCUUCAAAGGCUUCAUCAGCACUUGCAUGUAGUGAUCGGUUAGCUCAGGUUCAUUGUAGACGCAACAAGCACCUUCAAGGGGCGGACUGAGAGGUAAGGCACGAAGCAAUUCAGUAGCUGGUGCCUUGUAGUGAGUGUUUUCAGACAUCCAGUCCAGCACCCAUUAAUUCACAUCUUCAGAAUUUCCGGUGAUGUGCAGCGUUGCAUAGAAUUGAAGAAUAAGUUCUUCAUUCCAAUCACAGAUGUCAGUGCAGAAAUUUAACAGUCCACCGUCAUGAAGAACACUGAGGACUAGCACGAAGCGCGACAGAGAUUCCAUGUCCACGUGAGGAAUGUGCUCAUGAUCGAAGACUUUGUCUUUGUCGAACAGCACUGAGGAAUAGAAAUUUGCCUGGCUGGCAGUCCAGAAACGCCUCUUCCUUAUGCGAGCAGAGUCAUAAGGGUUGUAAUCAGUGAAGAAUACAUGCUCGCCAAAGAAGGCAUCAGUCUUGAAUUUUUGCUUCCUAGAGAAUGGAUCCUUUGGUUUGGGCAGAGGAGUGUCAGUGAGUUGCAUCACAACCUCAGGAAUCACAAUCUCAGGUUCUUCAGGCUGAGGAAUUUCUGGUUCCUCUUCAGUGGCAGCCUGGUUCUUGAAUUCUUCAUUUUCAGUUUCUUCAGCACUAGCGGCUGGAAUGUCUUCAUGAGCUUCAUCAGAUCCCAUUUGAACUGUAGUGACUGGGGACUAAGGAAUUUGCUACAGUGGAGUGAAGAGUGGAGAAUUGGGGUGCUGACUUUCCCAAAAGUCAUCAUUCAUCACAGGCGUGGUACAGCCAAUGUCCACAUCUUCAUCUUCAAUUUCUUCAAUGCUGGCCUCUUCAGCAGUAAACUGAGGCACAGGCGAGGAAACAACUGGGGUUGAAGGGAUUUCAUCCACUUCAAUUUAUUCAUCCAUCUGCUCUGACAUAGUAGCAGAAGGAGUUUCUUCAUCAGAUCUGCUAGGGAUCACGUAUUCUUCAUCAAAAGGAACAAGAUCCUUUGAUGGCAUGGUUGAGAUUGGAACAGCAUCAAUCGGGUUUGCAAAAGAGCUGGUCAUAGGCUUCAUUUUCUUCGGAGCAGAAGAAUCUGAAGAAGCUGAUACUUUCCUUUUCUUCACUGCUGUACGCUUUGCAGCCUUGGUCUUCUUCACAUCUGAUGCAGAUGGAAGGAUUGGAGUUGGAGUAGGCGCAGGUGGAGCAGAGGAAUUUGGUGCAGUUUCUUCAGGCACAACUGAUGCAGUUGCCAUGACCUCUUCAUUUUCUUCAGGCGCACCACUAGUGGGUGCCCUGGCAGUUUCAUCAGCGGCUGGAAUGCAGUCAUCAGCCCUGGAACUCACAUUAUCUUCAGCAGCCUGAUUGUCAUCAGCGGUGCUGGCAUGUUCUUCAGUUUGCUGAGCAGAUGCUUCAGCCGGAGUGACUUCAAUAUGCACAGCGGCAGCGGCACUUGAAGUGAGUGUCUUCGUCGGAUUGACGAACCUGACCUUGGCUCCUUUCCAAUCAGCAUAGUAAGCGUUGAAAUCAUCGCUGGGGACUUUGAUUUCAGACUGGAGCUUUACGAGUUCAUCAGUUGUCAUAGAGACAACGUUGUUCUUCAGAAACUUCUCCUUCCUGUACUGUGCUUUCUUGAGUUGCCUGGCCUUCUCAUAUUUUCAUUUUUCUUCACUGAUGAAAUGGGUCAGCAUGUGACUUUGGCCAGGUGUCAACUUGAAAUCAGGCAUAGGAGUGUUUGGGUCCUUGUGCCAGAGAUCAAUAUAGUCGAGGAUCAGCUUUGGAUCCAAAAGCAGUGGCACUUCUGUGCCCUUGGCUCUAGCGGCCCUGACUUGCCUGUCUCUGAUGAUCUUAGCAAGUUCUUCAUCAUCAGCUUCAUCAUCUUCAGAUGGUACUUGGAAGGCGACCUGCUUCUUCUGAGGACUUGGGCAAGAGCCUCGUCCUGCAGUGGUCUUAGUCUUCAGCAGAGAGGGUCCUGUUGAAGAAUAUGGUGCAGCUGAGGAACUAGCUGAAGCUCCUGAGGCAAUGGAGAUGCCUGUAGUCCUUUGGCACGUGGCAAGAUGCACAGGUGCUGAGGAUUUUGUCGGAGCAGCUGAGGACUUUGGAGGAGCAGGAGCGGCUUGAGGAAUUGGCCGUGAGGGCUUAGCUGAGGAAAUUGGCUGUGAGGGCAUUGAAGAAGAGGCACUUGGCUUGUGCGCAGGCUUCUUUGCCAUGGAUUCCUUCGGCCUUACAGAGGCCUCAGCAGCAGCAGCAGUGGAAUCUUCGUUGAAUUUCCUCACUGCAUCUUUUUCCUGUUUGGCCAACUUGGCCUGGCGCUUGGCCCAUUCUUCAGGAAAAUCCUCACUGUGCUUGAUGCUAGUGGGAUCUGCCUCUUGGCCAGGUGCCAAUGGAGAUCUUGAGCAUGGAGGAGUAACAGCGAAUUUCUUCAUAUAUUUUGGAGUCACAUACCUGUACUCCCUCCACUCUUUUGCCCAUCUCCUUUCUAUCCUCUGAAUGCGCACCUUGCGCUGAUUUUUGUCUUCCUCAGGGGGUGUGCAGUACCCAGCAUAAAUGUCCUCAGGGAUUUCAAAGGCAGUAUUGACCUCAGGCCUCUUUCCUCCUUUCUGUGGCCUCUUUUCAUUAGCCAUUUUCUUUAGUUGAGGAAUUUGAACAAUUGAACUCUCUGAAGAAGUUUGCAACUUUUCUUCGUGGAACGCUGCAAAUGAGUUAAGUUGAUGAGAACCUAGUGAUUCAGCAGCGGACAUGAGUACCUGUGAACAGAGUAUAGUUGCGAGGAAUUUGGAGAGGUCAUAUGCGUUCUCAGAAGGUUUUUCAAUAAGAACAAGUUUGAGGAAUUUGACCAGAUGAGUCUUGAAGAAUUUCACUAAGCGUUCUUUGUCUUAGGUUCCAGAGUUGCAUAGAUCGAAGAUCCACACAAUUGAGGAAUCUUGAAGAAAAGUGAUGCUUAGAGAAACGAAUCAAGAGCAGAUGACAUGUGAGGUGUUUAGUGUGUGAGGAUUUGAAGAAAAACACCUUUGAAGAUUUUGUAGUAAACAUUUGAAUCAAAGUGGGCAGUAAAAGUAACUUUUAAUUACCCUGAAUGAAGAACACGACGAACUGGGAUGUGGAGAAGUGAAGCUCGUCUGUGCAGAUCUUCCACGCCCUAACUUGGCGGAGGAAGACGGCUACGGCAGCGGCGGAGUGAAGAUUUCCGCGGCCAGCGUGAGUACGGCGGCGACGAGGUCGAGGCAGUGAAGCUCUUCCUCACCGGCGAUGAUGAUGUAGCGGCGGCGCUAGGGUUUGAGAAGCUCGAGCUUGGAGAGAGGUCGAGCGGAGUAAAAGAAGUGAGGAAGGGGAGAGGGGGUAUUUAUAGCCACGGUGAAAAACGGUUCGUCCGAAGAAAUUGGACGAACGUGCCCCUGACCCUUCUCAUUCGCAUGACAUGUGUCACCCACGUACUGAGAAGUGGAGAUCAUGUUAGAUCGUGGGUGAAUAGAUAAGUAUAUCGUGGGAAGCGGAACGGUUUGAGCGGCAAAGCCAAAAAUUUGGAUAAGAUAAGUUAAAAGUUCCGUUCGCAAAUUCUUCAGCUGACAAGGACGCAGUGAAGAUUUUGAAUGAGUUUCAAAUAGAACGCACAUGAAGAAUUUGUGAAUAGAUUGGGUUGAGUAUAGCAUAGAGGGGGAAGGGUCCGAUCACAUUCACUUAGCAGAAAAACCAACUUCAAGAAUUAGCCAUAAGUGAAUGCUGUAGAGGACGUAACUCAUAUAUAUANNNNNNNNNNNNNNNNNNNNNNNNNNNNNNNNNNNNNNNNNNNNNNNNNNNNNNNNNNNNNNNNNNNNNNNNNNNNNNNNNNNNNNNNNNNNNNNNNNNNNNNNNNNNNNNNNNNNNNNNNNNNNNNNNNNNNNNNNNNNNNNNNNNNNNNNNNNNNNNNNNNNNNNNNNNNNNNNNNNNNNNNNNNNNNNNNNNNNNNNNNNNNNNNNNNNNNNNNNNNNNNNNNNNNNNNNNNNNNNNNNNNNNNNNNNNNNNNNNNNNNNNNNNNNNNNNNNNNNNNNNNNNNNNNNNNNNNNNNNNNNNNNNNNNNNNNNNNNNNNNNNNNNNNNNNNNNNNNNNNNNNNNNNNNNNNNNNNNNNNNNNNNNNNNNNNNNNNNNNNNNNNNNNNNNNNNNNNNNNNNNNNNNNNNNNNNNNNNNNNNNNNNNNNNNNNNNNNNNNNNNNNNNNNNNNNNNNNNNNNNNNNNNNNNNNNAGAGAAACGACAGAAACAGUGAAGAUUUUGCAAAGUUGAAGAAUAUGAACAACCGAGGAAUUUCAAAACUGAGGAAAAACUCAAAUUGAAGAUUUUCAACUUUUGUGGUGGCGCGACCCACCGUAUAAGAAUGAUGAUUUCAGACACCGCGUACAAUUGUCGUAGGGUUCUGAGAAUCAAAUUCUUCAUUAAUUUCUUCACACUUAGAGUGUAAUUCUUCAUUGAUUGAAGAAAAACGUUUCUUCAUGUGUUGCACAUCUAAGUCAUCAAUUUUGCAUAAGUGUUAGGAUGAGUGUCCUUUUCAAAGAACAUUCGAAGAUUCUAAGAUAUUUAGCUCACACCGCAACUUGCGAAAUCUCUUCUUAUCCAAGGGCUUAGUGAAGAUAUCGGCUAGCUGUUCUUCAGUCUUCACAUGCUCAAUAGAAAUGUCACCCUUCAACACAUGAUCGCGAAGAAAAUGAUGACGAAUCUGAAUGUGCUUUGUCUUUGAGUGCUGAACUGGGUUGUGAGCAAUCUUGAUGGCACUCUUAUUGUGACAGAAGAGAGGCACAUUCUUCACGUUGACGCCGUAGUCCUUGAGAGUUUGCUUCAUCCACAGCAAUUGAGCACAGCAAGAACUAGCAGCAAUGUACUCAGCUUUAGCAGUAGACAGUGAUACGCAGUUCUGUUUCUUCGAGGACCAACAGACCAAAGAUCGUCCGAGGAAACGACAUGUACCAGAUGUUGACUUGUGAUCCACACGGUCACCAGCAUAGUCAGAGUCAGAAUAUCCAACGAGAUCAAAAGCCGAGCCCUUGGGGUACCAUAAUCCUAGUGUUGGUGUGUGAGCUAGAUAUCGAAGAAUAUGCUUCACAACCUUAUUGUGUGAUUCCUUCGGUGUAGCUUGAAAUCGGGCACACAUGCAAACACUAAGCAUAAUAUCUGGCCUAGAUGCACAUAAGUACAAUAAAGAACCAAUCAUGGAGCGGUAUACCUUUUGAUCGAAGUCAAUACCAUUUUCAUCAGUGCACAGAUGGCCAUUUGUGGGCAUAGGAAUUUUGACGCCUUUGCAAUCUUGCAUGCCGAAUUUCCUCAGUACAUCCUUGAGGUAUUUCUCCUGAGAUAUGGAUAUGCCAUUGCGCUAUUGACGAAUUUGAAGACCUAAGAAGAAUUUCAACUCUCCCAUCAUAGACAUUUGAUAUUCUUCACUCAUCAUAUAGGCAAAUUCAUCACUAUAACGUUGGUCAGUACAGCCAAAGAUGAUGUCAUCAACAUAUAUUUGGCAUACAAACAAUUCAUCAUCAUAUGAUUUAGUGAAAAGAGUAGGGUCGAGUGAACCGGGUUUCAAGCCUUUCUUCAUGAGGAAUUCCUUCAAAUUAUCAUACCACGCCCGAGGGGCCUGCUUGAGGCCAUAGAGGGCCUUAUUUAGUCUGAAGACUUUGUCAGGAUGCUUAGGAUCUUCAAAACCUGGGGGUUGAGCAACAUAUACUUCUUCCUCAAGCUUACCAUUGAGGAAUGCACUUUUCACAUCCAUUUGAUAUAAAGUGAUAUCAUGAUGGUUAGCAUAAGCAAGUAAUAUGCGAAUAGCUUCAAGUCUAGCAACAGGUGCAAAAGUUUCAUCGAAAUCAAUUCCUUCGACCUGUGUGUAGCCUUGAGCUACUAGUCGUGCCUUAUUCCUCACCACAAGGCCAUUUUCAUCUUGCUUGUUGCGGUAGAUCCACUUUGUGCCAAUGAUAUUGUGUUUGUGAGGAUCUGGACGAUUGACCAGUUCCCAAACGUUGUUGAGCUCGAACUGAUGUAAUUCUUCUUGCAUGGCCUGAAUCCACUCAGGCUCCAGAAAUGCUUCAUCUACCUUAGUGGGCUCUGAGAUAGAGACAAAAGCAUAGUGUCCACAAAAGUUAGAUAAAUGUGAAGCUUUUGAGCGUGUGAGAGGACCUGGUGCUUCAAUGUCAUUAAUGAUCUUCUCAACUUGCACUUCUUUUGCAACGCGAGGAUGAGUAGGUUGUCGUCGAGGAAUUUGAUCAGCAUUUUCUUCAGCACCAUUUUCUCCAGCAAUUUCUUCAGGUGCAUUAGCUCGACGUUCUUCACGUUCUGGAAUGAAUUCUUCAGCAGAUUCUUCGGUAGGAAUGACAUCCUCAGUAGCCUUGAACUUGAUAGUUUCCUCAGGUGCUGGUUCAUCUAUCACAGAGGGUAGGUGCUCUCUUUGCGAGCCAUUAGUUUCAUCGAAUCGCACAUCUAUAGUUUCAACAACCUUGUGAAGAACGGUGUUGAAGACUGUAGGUGUGCGAGUCCUUUCCGUAACCAAGCAUAAAACCUUCAUGUGCUUUCGGUGCAAAUUUAGCAUUGUGAUGAGGAUCUCUAAUCCAACAUUUAGCACCGAAGACUUUGAAAUAACUCACAUUGGCUUUCUUGUCAGUGAGGAGUUCAUAGGCAGUCUUCUUGAAGAAUUUGUGAAGAUAUACCCUGUUGAUGAUGUGGCACGCAGUAUAAAUUGCCUCAAUCCAGAAGUGACGAGGCGUCUUGUACUCAUCAAGCAUAGUGCGAGCCAUCUCAACAAGAGUUCUGUUCUUGCGCUCCACGACGCCAUUUUGCUAAGGAGUGUAAGGAGCAGAUAACUCAUGAGUAAUACCAAGUUCAUCAAGAUAGUCAUCAAGACCAGAAUUCUUGAACUCAGUUCCAUUGUCACUUCUGAUGUGCUUGAUCUUCACACCAAAGUUGGUUGAAGCCCUCGAGGAAAAUCGUUUGAAGACUUCCUGCACUUCAUGUUUGUAAGUAACAAUGUGUACCCAUGUGUAACGAGAGUAAUCAUCAACAAUAACAAGCCCAUAGAGAGAUGCGUCAUUUGUGACAGCUAAGUAAUGGUUAGGACCAAAGAGGUCCAUGUGAAGCAAUUCGAAUGGUCGAGUAGUGGUCAUGAUAGUCUUCGCUGGAUGCUUAGCCUUGGUCAUCUUUCCAGCUUCACAAGCUCCACAUAGGUGAUCCUUGAGGAAUUUGACAUUGUCAAUGCCAAUGACAUGCUUCUUCUUCGCAAGCGUGUGAAAAUUCCUCAUGCCUGCAUGACCAAGUCGUCGAUGCCAUAGCCAUCCUUCUGAAGCUUUUGCAUGUAGGCACACAGCUGGUUGCGGUCCUGUAGAGAAAUCAACAAUAUACAAGUCUCCUCUUCUAAAGCCUUCGAAGACUUUGGAAUUGUCAGCUUCCAUAACCGCAACACAACGAUACUUGCCAAAGACAACUACCAUAUCAAGAUCACAAAGCAUUGAGACAGACAUGAGGUUGUAUCCUAAGGACUCGACAAGCAUGACUUUGUCCAUGUGUCGAUCCUUUGUGAUCGCAACCUUACCUAGACCCAAUACCUGACUUUUGCCUUUGUCAGCGAAGAUGAUAUGCUUCAGAUGCGAUGGUGAUAAGGGAGCAUCAAUCAAUAGAUUCUUGUCACUAGUCAUGUGAUUUGUACAUCCACUAUCGAGGACCCACUCAGUGGCUUUGGGUUGAUCAUCCUGCAGAUGAAUUAGUGCAGCUUACGAACUUCAUAUACUUCAUCAGUGAAGAAUAUGACAUCAAUUCAUCAGAUCAAUUUCAUCAAGCAAUAGAAUAGAUAAAGCAGUAUGAGGACGUGAGAAAUGAAAGUUCAUUUCUUCAUGAUUAGCCUGCGUCCUUUCAGGCAAACUUCAGGUCUCUAUCAAAUUCUUCAGACGUUCAAGUACGUCUGUAGACCCGACCCUGCAGAAGAGAUUAGUUCUUUUUCUUCACCACCCACAUCUGAAGGGGUGGCAAAGAGUUCAUCACUCUGCGAGCUCCAUAUGAGAAAGGUGGCAUAGAAGCCAAUCCGUUUUGUUUCACAUAAGAGAAGUUAGGGUAAGCAUAUGAAUAAGUAGAGAAAUUCUUCAAGGAGUUAUGAACAUAAUGAUUAGAAGAAUAAUGCUCAUAUUCAUAGCCCUUGGCUCCUCCGUGCGAAACAGAGUUGUUAGCACGAUGAUGUUCAUAUGAGGACUUUGAUCCUCUUGAGGAAUUUGAUCCAUGUGAGGAAUUUGGUCCGUAUGAGGACUUGGAUCCAUAUGAAGAUUUUGGUCGAUAUGAAGAAUUUGAUCUGGGGUUCCUAUUCCUCACAGGUGGUGUCAUGAGGACAUUCACCUGAAGACUUUCAUGGCAUAUUUUGGGAACCCAGAUUUUCUUCAUAGGAGAACCGUUCCUGCAGUUAGUGCCAACAUAUCUAGCAAAUACUUCACCAUUCUGAUUUUUGAAUAGUUUAUAGUUGGAGUCAAAUGACUCAUCAGAAGAAUGAGGAGAUUCACAUGUAAAGCCAUAUAAGUUAGAUGGAUCAACUGGAGGUCCCUUUGCAACAACCCAUGAGGUUUUGGGGUACUGCUCAGGCUUCCAAUAUGUACCGUCAGCAUUGAGUUUUCUCUCAAAGGCAAUACCCUCUUUCCUAGGGUUUCUGUUGAGGAUCUGCUUUUUAAGCACAUCACAAAGAGUCUGAUGCCCUUUGAGACUUUUGUACAUGCCUGUCAUGUACAAUUCCUUCAGCCCUGCAUCGUUAGUGAUACUAGCAAUGUCCUCAGAUGAGGAAUUAAUGAUUGCAGAGAUAGUUGAGGAAUUUGUAGCAUUAGGAGCAUUUGAACAUUCAGGUGAAGAAUUAGCAGAUUCACGUUCAAUGCAUUUCAAACAUGGAGGAACAAAUUCUUCCUGAGCAGCGCUGAUUUGUUGAGCAAGUAAUGAAUCGCGCUCCUUCUGAACAUCUUCAUAACUCACUUUUAGCUUCUCUAGAUCUUGCUUUCUUUGAAGAAAUUCAUAAGAAAGCUUCUCAUGAUCAGACAAAAGAGUGUUAUGAUGACCUUGAAGGUUGUCAUACCUAGUCUGAAGUCUCUGAAGAUUUUCAGUCAAGGUUUUAGUGCGAUCCAUUUCUUCACCCAACAUAUCAUCACUCUUGUCUAGCAUGUUUUGAACCUUUUCAAGGGCCCUUUACUGUUUCACAGCAAUCUUAGCAAGUUUAGAAUAUCUAGGCUUAAGGUUUUCAUCAGAUUCAUUUUCACUUGAUUCAGAUGAGGCAUAUUUGAGUACCUUGGCACCCUUUGCCAUGAAGCAAUAGGUGGGAGCGUAGUCAUCAUUGCCUUCAUCAGCCUUGUUGGUGAGGUCAUUUUCUUCAGAGUUGAAGAUAGACUUGUUGACGAAUGCAGUAGCGAGGGCUAGGCUCGCCACACCGGAUUCGGAAUCCUCAGAUGCCUCCUCUUCCUCAUUUUCUUCAGAUUCAGCCUCAGAGUCCAUUUCCUUGCCAAUGAAUGCCCGAGCCUUCUUGGAGCUACUCUUCUUGUGAGAUGAAGACUUUGAGGAUUUUGAUGAUGAAGAUUUUGAGGAUUUCUUGUUUUUCUUCGUAUCAUCAGAACUGUAAUCCUUGUAUUUCUUCUUCUUUGAUUCCUUUUCCCACUGAGGACAAUCUUGAAUGUAGUGUCCUGGUUUCUUGCAUUUGUGACAAAGCCUCUUCUUGUAGUCACUGGAUGAGGAAUCAUUGCUCCUUGAGGGUCUUCCAAAGCGACCACAUCUUGAGAGCUUCUGGAAUUUCUUCACAAGCAGUGCUAGAUCAUGGCACAGUUCUUCAGGAUCACCAAGACUGCUUUCAGACUCUUGGUCUUCAGACUCAGAAACUGCCUUGGCCUUCAGUGCACGUGAUCUGCCAUAGCUCGAACCAUAGAGAUCUCUCUUUUCAGCAAGCUGGAACUCAUGAGUGUUUAGCCUUUCAAGGAUAUCAGCGGGAUCAAGUGACUUGUAAUCAGCACGCUCUUGUAUCAUCAAGGCCAGAGUAUCAAAUCAGGAAUCAAGCGAUCUCAGCAGUUUCUUCACCACCUCGUGGUCGGUGAUGUCAGUGGCACCAAGUGCUUGAAGCUCAUUUGAGAUGUCAGUGAGGCGAUCGAAGGUUUGUUGAACAUUCUCAUUGUCGAGUCUUUUGAAGCGGUUGAAGAGAUUGCGAAGAACAUCAACUCGAGAGUCACACUAUGUUGAGACUCCUUCAUUUACUUUGGACAGCCUAUCCCAGAUAAGCUUAGCAGUUUCCAAAGCACUCACUCUUCCAUACUGUCCUUUGCUCAGAUGGCCACAUAUGAUAUUCUUCGCUUGAGAAUCGAGUUGCUUGAAUCUCUUCACAUCGGCAGCGUUCAGUGAGGGUGAGACAGAGGGAACACCUUUUUCCACAACAUACUAGAGAUCGUUAUCAAUUGCCUCAAGAUGCAUUCGCAUCUUAUUCUUCCAGUAGGGGUAGUCCGUCCCAUCGAAGGUAGGACACCCAGCAGAGACCUUGAUCAUACAUGCGGUCGAAAUAACUAAAACUCCAGGCGGUUAAACCAAAAUCACACAGAACAAGGGAGUACCUUGCUCUGAUACCAAUUGAAAGUGCAUUAUAUCGACUAGAGGGGGGUGAAUAGGUGAUUUUAAUAAAUUCUUCACUGAUGAAUUUGUGGGUGAGGAAAUUCCUUAGCGAAGAUGGGAUGCUCUCAAAUGACAAGUGUCAGUUUCUCUCGGACCAGCCAACCAGCUAGUGGUUGUAGGGGGCGGCUAUUUAUAGCCUAGGGAGCAGCCCGCAUGAUAAGACAUAAAUGCCCUUCAAUGAUAUGACCGUUAGGUGGGUAGAUAUUUUGGGACAGCUGGCGCAGAGCACAGCAACGGUCGGAAAUUUGAGGUUCAAAUUCCUCAGGGCUAUCAUGUUCCUCACUGUGUAGGCAAUCCGCACUGGCGAAUUCCUAACUCCUCAGUCAGAACAAAUUCCUUAGAGACCAGAAGAACUUCGUCUCUGUCACUAAAGAAUAUGACUGAACUGUAUGAGAUUUCCAAUGGCUUCACUCGAAGGGAUUGGUAGGUGUAGGAUUUUGAGUUGAGCAUCACAUGGAAAAUUUUCCUUAGAAUUUCCUCGACCCCCUUUAACAGUACGGUGUUUCCUAUGACUCAAGAAAGAGAAAAUGAAACUACGAAAACAAAAGUCUUCACGCUUCAUAUUCCUCAAAUGAAUACCAAGUCUUCAAGGUCACACCAAUUUCUUCACUUUCAAAGUCUUCAGAAAGUCUUCAGAAAUCACAAGUCUUCAGUCGAAGAACUUCAUUUUUAGGGGUCGACUUUCUCUGUAAAUAUCAAACUCCUCAUAGACUUAUAGACCUGUGUACACUCAUAAACACAUUAGUCCCUUAACCUAUAAGUCUUCAAUACACCAAAAUCACUAAGGGGCACUAGAUGCACUUACAGAGAACGACAUACCCGAUAAAAAAUAAGAAGAGGAAGAAGAACAAAAAAAAAGAGGAGAAGAAGAAAGGAAUAGAGGAGAAGAUCGAACAAAAAAAAAGAAAAAAAAA